rnacentral:lncRNA from 1 species
AGACACGUAGUUUACACAACCGUUAAAGGCAUGAUUACAAAGUGACCAUACACUUUAUUUAGAAAAAGAAAAAACGGUUCAUUUAAGCCUCGACGAUCUCCUCGAUAAAAGGUUGUUGUUGCCUACCAGCGGAUCGAGUCAAGGUGGUCUCAAGGGUGUUAAACUUGAUCCUCCUAGCUUCCUCGGGGGAGACCUGGAAACCAUUUGAGAUGACCGCUAAUGGCAAUCCCCUCAAGAGCGAGGUUCGUCCAGCCAAAGUGCUGAUCAUAGCGUUUUCGUUAGUCUUGAAAGAGAUCCACUCGAAGUUGUUUCCGUGGGACUGGACAACGUAUGCGAACCCUUGUGGGAUGACCACGAGCUGUCCCUUCUGCACCUGCUGGUCCAACACAUUCUGUCCGUUGUCGUUCACAACUUGGAUCCUUCCUUGUCCUCCGGUGCAGUACAAGAUCUCGUUAGCGUUCAUGUUGUAUUUUGGAAGUACCAUAGCAUUCUGCAACAUUUCAUACAUGAUCAGUUGUUGUCCGUCACAUGUAGCCUCCGAUUUUAAUAUGUUUUGUUUUGUUUUUUUUGAAAAAGAUUUUUAAUAUGUUUUGUUAGGGGAAAUAAUUAAUAUCAACCAUGUAAAUAUAGUGGAUUAUAUAAGUUUAGUGACUUAAUAUCCAUAUAUCUACAACUAAAUAUCUACUAAAUUUAAUUAUAAUUUGUAUACUAUCCCUAAUUUAUCUUUUCACGGUUGAUUUCUCUAUAUUUGUAUAAAGUAAAAGAAACAUAUACUUACACCCUGGAUACUGCCACGGGUGGCGCUGAGCCUGAUGAACUGCAAGAUGGGCAAGGUGUAGCUGUUAACGGUGGUCAUACGACCUAGGUUGGGCUUGUAUACGUCAGCACGAGCAGGGUCGUCAAUGUUUUCGUGGGACCUCAUGCUGCAGAUAGUCUCCUCAAGGCCGUUGUCUUGUGGGCCACGUGGGCGUCUCCUCUCUUCGCUCUCGUAGGGUUGUCUCAAAGGUGGUCGCACGACCUGGAAAGGUCCCUUAACACGAACGAUGUUUCCUCGGUUGUCUUGUUGGUUCUGAAGCUCCUGAGCCAACUGAACGUCAAUUUUCAAUGCCUGAGCAAUGACCUGAGCGUCGAAGCCGCUCCACAUGUUCUUCUGUUCUUGUUGUUGCUGUGGACCGCCAAAGCCACCCUGUUGGUUGUUUCCGGCCAAAUGGAACACCUAUAACACCGAAUCAACAAAUGCAAAACAUUUAUAUAUUAUUUAAACUGAUACGGUAGAUAUUCUAAUAAUGAGUGAGCAUGUUGAGUAUAUAUGAUUACUCUAGGGUUACGGUCGAGUUGGUUUUGGUAGUUGGCGAUGUCGAGAAGAGCGAUGAUGACAAGUGGCUGUUCUCCGGUGUUGUAGAUCCAAUGGGCAGAGCCUGGAGUGAUGGCACAGAUGUCUCCCUGGCGAACAUGUUCCACCUUCUGGUGCAUGUCACGGAACCCUUGUUGUUGCUGUUGUCCCUGUUGUCCCUGUUGUCCCUGGCCUCCCCAUGGUUGUCGUCCCUGUUGUCCCUGUCUUUGUUCUUGCUGUUGUUCUUGCAUGGGCUGCGAGUCCAUGAAGGUCUCAGCACAUCCAGGGACCACUCUUCCGCUAAUACCCUUUCCUGUAAAUUAAUUUUAUAUACAGAAUAGAGUUAUCGUACGGUGAAUCUAUUGUAUUCUUCAUUAAUUAAAACGUGAUAUAUACGUAUUUGAUUGAAAGGGCUAUCAUGUUUGUGUAAAUUGAUAUAGACCUUGAACAACGUAUGAGAUCUUCGGGGAAGUGAAGAAGGUGGGCAAGUAGAGACCGCCUUGUUCGAUCACAUAACGAGCGACGGAGACACCAGCACAUCGGAGUUGAGGGUGGUUGUGAUCCCAGUACUCGAUCUGACCGGCCUCACUCUUGAUAGUUUCGGUGGCUUGGAGAACGUCCAGGUUAUCAAGGUUACACUCGUUCUGCAGCUGAGGAGGAACCCCAAGAGACUGCCUUGCAAGGCAGCCGUUAAGGACGAGGAGAACCCCGAAGGUCGCAACGAGGAGAUUGCCGAGCUUAACCAUUUUCUUUUUGUUUGUUGUGAGAGAUGGAUGAAGAAGAACGAGGCUUAGCAGUAGUUUAUAUACUGUCGAGUGAGCUCAAUGUUUAUGCCACCUAAGAUUGGGUUUGCAUGGGGUCAUGAGUCUAUGGUUUUAACACGUCAGUCUGUGAGCUCGAGCAAGUGUCUCUUGAUGUUCAUGCGCGUAGCUCACUCUCCGCGUAUGCCAAAACACGACAAAUUCAAAUGUAUCUAUCUCAAUUUUUAGCUUCACGUUAUGUUAUUAUCCAUAUAGAAAAACUCUACUAGAUUUAUCAUUUAAUAACGUCUCGGGAUCAUAGAAUCUCUUAAACAUGAUAUAUAAUUGAACUUAAACACAGCAGGAGAAAAUCAAAGUUUAACAAUUAACACAUCAUUAACAUCACCAGUGAUAUAUAUUGAAUAUUUUGGCGAUGUGAUCGAAGAGAGCGUAUAAACAAAAUAAAAUUUUAAAAUAGAGAGUUAGGAAGGAAACAAGGUGCCACAUGAGAGAGACGCGGCGACACUAGGCGUGUUUGAUCCGUUGUACUUGUAUCUGCUGCGACUUGACUCGACAACUGUUCGGUUGCAUGUUUAGCCGCGGUGACAAGUGUCUGACAUUUAUACUAAAUAGGCUUAUCAAAACCAAAACCAAGCCCAAUAAAGUAUUCUUUAUUCACCAUUAAGCCCAGCUAACGUAUCUAAUUGCCCAUAGCGUGAGCCCAAAGAAAAAAAAAAAAAAAAAUGCGACACCGUCCCGUUUCUCCAAUAGAAGUCAGAGAGCUUAAACCCUAAACCCCUUUCUCACGAUCUUCCCCUUUCUCCAGUAGCCAAGGUUUCAGGUACGCUUCUCGCCAUUUCGCUUUUGUAUUUUGUUUAACGGGUGUGUAUCAAUUGAUUCCUUUCGAAAUUUUAGUGAACGAGUGAAUUUUGGAGGUGGCUGAGAGAGUUUUCUGCUCGAAGUUAAUUACUUGCUGUUUAUACCAAAGAUGCGAGUGUUGCUGUUUGAUUGAUUAGAAGUGUUUUGAGCAUGUGGGUUCGUUAAAUUUUAUAGCUUUUACGAUUUCGUGUGCUGAAAUUUGACUUCAUUUUGAUUCUGUUACUUGACUCUUUUGGUAGCUAUAAGUUAAAGUUGCAUAAGUGAGUAGAUCUGAGUCUGAUUCUUGGGUGCAUGUUUGUGUAUUCUGUUUCUCUGCACUUGGAUAUUGAUUUUAAUUUUUUGAAAUAUUGGGAGUGUUCUAGAAAGAAGGAUGAAUAUCAACGUCAAAGUUCCGAAGGUACCAGGUGGUGGUGCCAUUUCAGCGCUGCUUAAGGUUGGGAUUAUCGGUGGGCUUGGUCUCUAUGGUGCCACACACAGUCUCUACAAUGUUGACGGAGGACAUCGUGCCAUUAUGUUCAAUCGUUUUAUCGGUAUCAAAGAUAAGGUGAGUCACUGUUUCUUCAAAUUGGGGUUUUUGGUUUUGUAGUGAAUGUAUUUUCCCAAAGAGUUCUUUUGCGGUUUGUGACAUUUGAAUGGAAAUUGUCUAGGAUUAUUUGUUAUUUAAAUCUGAUUCUCUUUUGUGUAAACACUGAGGCUGAUUUGUUGUCUAUGUUUGGUAUCAGUCAUGAUAUCAUGUUGUUCUGCUGUAACCAUUGAGCAUAUUAAGAGUCUUGUUAAUUCACAAGUAGGUGAUAACCUUAUAUUUCGCAGGUUUACCCUGAGGGCACACACCUUAUGAUUCCUUGGUUCGAAAGGCCGGUCAUCUAUGACGUUCGCGCUCGACCUUACCUUGUUGAGAGUACAUCCGGAAGCCGCGAUCUCCAGAUGGUACUCUGCUUCAACUCCUCACAUUUUUAUUCACUUUUUUUUUGAGGAUUUAGGGAAUGUGAAGUCUUUCGCUUCAACCGUCACAUGGUUUGCUUAUAUGCCACUGUGAUGUAAUAAUGUCAACGCUCAACUUCAUAAGCUUUAAGUUUGUGGGUUUUGAAACUUUCAGGUGAAAAUUGGGCUUAGGGUUCUCACGCGUCCCAUGGCAGACCAGUUACCUGAAAUCUACAGAUCCCUUGGUGAGAACUACAGCGAGAGAGUUCUGCCUUCCAUAAUCCACGAGACUUUGAAAGCUGUGGUUGCUCAGUACAAUGCAAGCCAGCUUAUUACUCAGAGAGAGGUAUACAAGUGACUGUAAAUAUAUGAUAAUCUUUCCCUCUUUCUUAGUGAAGUUAACAAAGAUAGUUUUUGGGCUACUCUUAGGCGGUCAGUAGGGAGAUCAGGAAGAUUCUGACUGCACGAGCUGCAAACUUCAACGUCGCGCUUGAUGAUGUGUCCAUCACGACCCUGACAUUCGGGAAGGAGUUCACCGCUGCCAUUGAAGCAAAGCAGGUGGCGGCUCAAGAGGCUGAGCGAGCCAAGUUCAUCGUUGAGAAGGCUGAACAAGACAAGAGAAGUGCAGUUAUCCGUGCACAGGUAAAGCUGAGCUUCUCUACAAUUCCACUUAUCUAAAAUCUGAGACCGAAAUUGUUGUGUGACAACCUUGUCAUGGCUUGUGUAGGGAGAAGCCAAGAGUGCUCAGCUCAUUGGUCAAGCAAUUGCAAACAACCAAGCGUUUAUCACACUCAGGAAGAUCGAGGCUGCAAGAGAGAUUGCGCAGACCAUAGCAAACUCGGCGAACAAGGUGUACUUGAGCUCAGACGAUCUGUUGCUUAACCUACAAGAGAUGAAUUUGGAUGUAGAUGCAAAGAAGUAGAGAGGCUUCUUAAGUAAAAUCUCAUGUGCUUCAUGUCGUCUUUUCAAUUCCUCAGAUCCUUUGGAAGAAGAGUUCGAUUUGUAACCACUAAAAAACUUUUAAAAGUUGUUCUUGGAAUCACCUACCUCAAGGUGAAAAUGGGUCACCAUUAAAGAGAAAAGACUGAAUGAGUUAAUUGUAAUGAACUUGUCGUUUGGGGGAAAAAAAAAAGAGGUUUGCAUUUGGUUAAAUGAAAAAAGUGAUUUAUUUUUCCUUUCGAAAUAACGAGUGUCAAUUGUCAAAUGGCUAAUCUACUGCUUAAGACAUCCGAAGUCUGUAGGCGCUAUUUAGUUCUCUGCCGACAAGAUAUGAAAAUGAAUAAAUGUACCAAAAGACAAGGGAGAUCUUUGUACAUUUUUUCACGAUCAGUCCAAGGAAUUUAAAUUGUACAAAGCAAAUAAAAAAGGGGGAGAAAAAAAAUUAUGACAAAAAGAAAAACAAGUUACGUAUUUAAGUUUGCACAGUAACUUUUAAGUUAUUUUCAAUGUAUGUUUAUGUAGUAAUAUGAAGUAUAAUGCUUAUAUACCCUUUCUCUUAUUUUACGACCGUUGAUAUAAAAUUUGAUUUUCUUUUCAAGGGAUAAAAGGUUGAGAGUCAUGAGCCAAAUGGUUCUGUAUCCCGGUCUGAUUAAACGAGAUAAGAGCCGGAAUAUUGUGAUAAUACUCACCGGCUCCGGCCGUUCCCCCUCCACCGCCGUUGCUCUUGACGUUACUGUUGUUAUGAUGAAGAUGGUAAUGAAGGUGUCGGCCACUACUUCCACCGAGGCCUUGGAGGUAAGGUCGGUCUUUAGCCGUGGCUGCUGCAGCGACUGAGCCACCACAUUGGCGUGGUUGAGUCUGGUAGAAGACUUUGGAGACGACGAGCUCUCCUUCUUUCUCUUCCUCGUUGGUACCAAGAUGAUAUUGAUGCAUUACCCAAUUAGUCUUCUCGGGCUUUUUUUGUUUGCCGUAGUUUGUGUAGAGCACUAGGAUUUUCUUGUAGCCUCUCACUCUUCCACCGGCUAGAACUGGCCGUGUUUUGCCGGUUUUGUGCCACCGUGUCUCGCCACCAACUUCGGAAUCAGUGUGGACUUUACGUCGUUUUCUUGUUCCCGUCGUGUAUGCCUUCGACGGCCGGUGGAAAAAAUGACGGACAGUCCCGUCCUUGUUCACUCCUAUAUAUAUAUAUUCAACGACUAAUUAGCAUUCAUCAAACAUUUUCUUCUAUUUAACCUUUUUAUCAAAUAUCAUUCAAUUAUUAAUUUUCAACAUAUUUUUGGAGUUUUCACUAAUCAUAUACUAGCUAGUGGAAACAAAUAACAAAAUUUGAUCAUCAACCCUAAUUAUAAUUAAUGCUAUUAUUUGUAUGUAACAUAUUUUUCAGAUGGAUGGCACUAAAUCUAUAGAAAUCAAACAUUAAAUUAUUAAUGUAUAGAAAAAUAGUAUACACUAUACAAGAACAAUAGAUAUGUAAUCAAUCUUUUAAAGUAUCAUAAAAGUUAUAUAUGUUCUUUUUCCAUGUCAGAUUAUUUAGAUCAUAUGAAAAUGAAAAAUAUAAAUAUAUACUAGAUUCGGACCCGCGCUACAGCGCGGGGGAAAAUUGUCUGGUUUUGUUUUUUGUUUUUUUCUUUCAAAUGUCGAUUGUAAAAUUUGAUGUUUUAUUUUAAGUAUGUAAUUGUGUUGGGUUGGAAAAUUUAACGUUUAAAAUAGAAUAUGAUAGCGUGGUUCCCGUAUGAGCUUAAUUUUCCGAUGUUUUGAAAAUGGCAUUUGGGGAUAAAAGAUUGUUGGUGUUAUACAAUUGAAACAUUUAUUAAGUUAAUGUGGGUUUAAUAAAGUUUAUAUACUCAAGUUAGUAACUAAUUGUAUGUAAUAUUUAUAACAUUAUUAAGCUAAACUGUUAUUUUGCUAAGUAAUAUUGAUGAAGUAUGUGUUUAUAUUUCUAAAUUGAACCUUUAGUAGGUUUGUAUCAUCAUGUUGACAACAAUUUAUAUUUUUGUUCAUGUUUACUUUUUUUUUACCAAUAUUAACGAUGGCUUCUCAAAUCCUUAUUACGGAAACACUAAGACUAUCUCCAAAGAGGGAUCCUUAAGUCAAAAUUAGAAUUUAUGUUGAUUUAAAAUAAAUGUAAAUGUAAUUAAAUGAUAAAGAGCGCUCCUUAUUAAAAGACUUUAAAAAGCGGUUGCUAAAGGACGUGGCAAAAUAAUAUUGGUUGUGGCAAACAUACAUUUUUUNNNNNNNNNNNNNNNNNNNNNNNNNNNNNNNNNNNNNNNNNNNNNNNNNNNNNNNNNNNNNNNNNNNNNNNNNNNNNNNNNNNNNNNNNNNNNNNNNNNNGUCUCUCUCUUCUCUCGCAUUCCUCUCUUUUUCUUUCUCUUUCUUUAUUUUUCUCUCUCUCUUUUAUUUAAUUGUAAUUUAUAAUAAAAUAUUAUUAUACACAUUUUUUAAGGGUUCAAGGUUGGAGAUGCCCUAAUAAAUUAAUAUUGCCUAAAUCCACAUUUUAUAAUAUAAAAGUUUAGGUUUUGUUGACAAUUAUGAAGCCUUUUUGUUUUCCAUAAUAAGAACAAUUAAUAAUAACUGUGGGCUUUUGGCCCAUUACUGAAUUUUAGUGGAUGAUGUUUACCCAAUUUAUUUAUUUUUUUCAAUCAAAAUUGUCUUGCAGUCAGAUUUUGUCGUUAUUGAAAUCGAAAUUUAGGAAAAUCUUGGUUCGUAAUUCUAGGAGAUACGAAAAAGUUGUUAUAUUAUUCACUUAGUUACUAUAUCAUACUCAAUGCUGUUGAAAUUACGCUUUAAUGCGUAAUAAUUAUUGAAGGAAAGAUAUUAUGAAUAUUCGUAUAGUUGUUAGGUAAAGUUCUUGGAAUAUUCUGUUUUUUGGUAUAUUGAAAACGCACGAGACAGAGAAGUCGCUAGUAUAACUAUCUAAGGCCAAGAAGAAGGCCCAAAACAUUAUUAGCUUUUAAUGUCCGAUUAAUAUAGCAAUAACUUCCGUUCAAAUUUUAUUGAGAAGAUCCGAUUUGGAAGUCGGAUUUUUUUUUUAAAACCGACCCGAGAGAGUAUUUGUACUUCUCUUUUACUAUAGUAGGGAUUUUCUGUUAAAAUUAUUUAUUUUGCUGUCAUUAAUUCUGUUUGGUUAUAGGUUUAGGAUUACAUAAAAUGUUAUUUUUAUUUUUAAUUGUGUUUGGCUUUCAAGAUAAAUAAUGCUUUCCUUUUAAUAGUAUAGAUAGCUCAUGUAAACAGCAAAAUUGUUGAUGAUUGAACAACAUAGAAUCACCUGGCAAUUUCUCAGGAUGGGUAUAACAGAUGCCGUUUUCACCAUCGAUAGUACGGAUGAACUCAUCGAUGAGAGGAUGAAGCUUUCUUGCGUCGUCUUUUACCUUCCCCUCAAGAUGUUCCAGUACCUCUUGAUCCGUCGGAUCAAAUUUCACUCCGGCGGGCAGUCCCGGCAAGUCAUGGAUCCCGGCCUACAUAAAUUGGGUUUUUGAUUACUCAUGAUCAACUAAUAGAUAUCAAUGAUCAAACAGUUUCCAAAUGUAGAAACUAGAUGUAGCUAGCUAGGUAUUGAGAGAAACAAGAACCUGUUCAUGAAACUUGAAGUUAUGGCCACAAGAAGGACAAGUUUUGUGGCUUGAGACCGGUAAUGAGGCUCUGGGAGACUCAGCCGCAGUCGGGGAGGGAAUGAUUCUUUCAACGGUCUGAACAUCGUUACGGUCAUUGCACCAAGUCAUGUUGUUUUAGGUAUCCAAGGUUCCUCUUGUGCAUAUCUCUCUUUCUCCUCUUCUUUCACUGCUCACAACUUCGUCAAAAUAAACAAAGGCAUGAGAGAGGAAGAGAGGAAGAGAGGAGGGAAAAAGAGUUAAAGUUAGCUAAAGCAUAUGUAUCCUAAGAAGAACUCUUUGAGGUUAUCUUGAGAAGGAGGAAGGAAUUGAAUUCUUGUUCAUCACUUUUUAAGUUGAGUUAAUUGGCCUUUUUUGCACUUGAUUUUAACUUUGUACUAUCCAUGAAAGAGAGAGAGAGAGAGAGAGAGAGAGAGAGAGAGAGAGAGAGAGAGAGAGAGAGAGAGAGAGAUGAGGUAAGCCUAAAAAAUUUAUUAUUUAAACCUCAUUUUAUAUUGUGUACAAAUGUACCAUUACUCUACAUAGUAAGAAAUUAUUAUUUAGAGCUAGACUUAAUUAGUUUUGUUUAAUAAGUAUAUUUGUAGAAACAUACAUGCUAAGUAACAAUGAGAGGAAGAGGUACACCUACAACUCAACUUGAAAGUGAAGUGUAAUAUAUAAUUGUGAAAUUUCAAUCUUUUGAUUUACAUGUAACAUUGAUCUUUUGCCAAAAAAAAACAUGUAACAUUGAUAAAUUAUAUAUUGGAAAUUUUCUUCUUCUUGUUUUUUUUACAAGUUUACAAUGCAUAGUUGUAUCUUCUAUAGUUAAAAGCAUUAAAUUAAAAACUUCAGAUUCUUUCUGAAACUGCAAUGUGAUAUUCUGAAUAAACUAAUGGAUGAUUAGAAUUAAGAAAAAAAUAAAUAAAGGAGAUUGCUUGGGUUUUAAGUUUGGUUUGGCUUCUACAUCGCAUGUAUGGUGUGUGAGAGAGAAAGAGACAAAGACGACUGAUCAAACAUCUAAAAUAUAUGAAAAACAAAAUCUUGUGAGAGAAUAUAUAUGUAUGAUGUUGCCUUUUUUUUUCUUUUUGGGACAAACACAUUCUUAAUUAGGUUAAUUAAUUAGGUUUCUACCUUUGGUCGUAUUUUGUAUGUAUUGAUCUUUAUAUUCAAUAUAUUAAUUUGGUAAUUUACUGAUAUUUAGGAUCUAAAAAUGAGUAAUGAGAUGGCGUGGUUUUGGAGGAAGGUGUUGUUGCUGGUUCGUGAGGGAUCAGACGUGAUAGGGUAGAACCAAAAAAAAUAAGAAAGAGAAGUUAAGGUCCAAUGUCACCCUAGCGUGUAUAUAAAGAUAUUAUAAAUCACAUAAGCUUAUACUUAUAAUUUACACAUCUGUGUCUUACAUAAUUUUUCUUGUCUCAAUGUCUCCAUCAGUAUUUACUGAAAUCAUAUACUCUAUACGAGUACUGACUGAUAUACGUAAGAAAACAUUAAUAAAAACAUUGAUAUUAUUUCCGAUGGAUAUUGUACACCUCGAAUAUAGUUUUAAGUCGUGCAGAAGUAUAGUUUUAGUAAUUAGUUUCUCAUUUUUUUCCCUUUUAAAUUAUUGGUUAGUUUUAACUUUUGUGAAAUAAAUCAAUAAUACUCUAGAGAAUAAAGUUAAAAGCGAUAUAUGCGUAUAAUUAUUUAUUUUUGAAAUCUUACGUUUAUUGUCAAAAAUAGUUAUGAUCACGUCAAGAUAACAACUCUCAAAAUCGCAAGAAAAACAUAUCCUUGAAAUACAAAUUAUAAGUAGCAUGUCGAAAAAUGAAUUAACAUUUAACACUUUGUGGCAUGAAUUUGUAAGUGAAGUUGAGAUGGAAUUGUUAUAUACCGAGGUUGAUGAAUAAUAUAAAAGUAAGAAGCUAUUUUUUAUAUAGAUAAAAAGAAAAAGAAAGUUUAAAAAGCUAGUCAUUAUUCUAUUUCUUCACGUAGACUUUUCAUGCAUAACAAGGAACCUCAACCUUUAUUUUUAAAACUUUUCUCUUUGUCGUCUGAUUUUGUUUCUGGUCUCUCAUGUGAAUUGUAAACACAUGUUAUACUACCUUUUCUAAUCAAACUAAACAAAAUUUAUGAACAAACCGGUUCUCUAAGACAGUGAAUAGUAUGCUGCAGCUAAAACCCACAAUUGUAGAGUUCCUUAGAUGUGAGGUGGGUGAUGGUCGCUCUGCUUCUUUUUGGUAUGACUCUUGGACAGAAUUUGGUCAGCUUAUAUCUUACCUUGGAGAAGCUGGACCAAGAUUACUCUGCAUAAGGAAAGAUGCAAAGGUUGUAGAAGCAACGAGAAGUGGUAAUUGGGUUUUUCCGGCAGCUAGAUCUGAUAAUUCCCAAGCUUUAAUGGUGGCAUUAGCAGACCACUCUCCACCAGAAUCUAGCAAAGGCCGAGACGCUUUCCUGUGGCGCAAUGCUUCAGGUAAUUUCAUCCCAUCUUUCUCUUCAAAGGAAACUUGGGAGCAGUUGAGAAUUCAUUCACCUUUGGUUCCAUGGGCUGAUGUGAUAUGGUUUAAAGAGCAUGUGCCACGUUUCUCCUUUGUUAGUUGGCUGGCUUUGAUUGCUCGUUUACCCACAAGAGAUAGACUACGAAGGUGGGGCAUGAAUACCCCUGCCUCCUGUGUUCUAUGCUCUAAUGGGGAAGAAAACCACAAUCAUCUCUUCUUUGAGUGCACCUUCUCCUCAAGCGUCUGGGGUUUUUUUGCAGCGAAGUUCAUCUCCUUUCCUCCGGCCACCUUGUCAGCAGCGUCUUCAUGGAUCCUCCUCCACAAUCUGCCGCAAAACACCAAACUCAUCUCCAUCCUCAAGCUCCUCCUUCAGACGGUGGUCUAUCACCUUUGGAAAGAGAGAAACUCUCGAUUAUUCACCGGUGUUGCAUCAACCGCUGCAGCUUUGCGGCUUAUCAUUGAUCGUACAAUGCGUAGUCGGCUUCUCUCCUUUCCAGGACCUAGCUUGCUUUCUUCUUCUCUCCUUGCUGUUUAUUUUAGUCGUCUUAGUUAUCCGUUGUAAAGUAAUUCGUCUAGUCUGUCUCUUGUUCUCGUGCUAAUGGGUUAGUUUUUGUAUCUUUAGGUUGUAAUAGCUUUGGCAAUGAAAUCUUCACAUUAAAACCAAAAAAAAAAAAAUUUAUGAACAAAAAAGUUACACUUGUGUGUCUCUUCGGGAAAUUUUUGUGGUUAGCUUGUUGUUUUCAUGGGUGGAUCGAAAGCGCCGCAAGGUGACAUUCAAGAAAACCAGUAACAAAACCAAUUAUGACAUUACUUGCAUGUUCUUGGAAAUUUAGCAUAUACAAUUUAUAAUGGCACUAUUAGAUUACUUUAACUUACAAAAAUAUGUAAUUCAAGAAUUUCAACUAAAAAAAUAAAAAUAAAAAAUUCAGGUCCCUGGAAUGCAGGAAUAACGAUUUGUUGUUAAAUCAAUGUUGGUUACAAACAUGAAACAUUACAUAAGUUUAAAUAUAUAAUAACCAAACUUAGUAAUAAAUAGCAUAUCCCUUUAUACUAGGAUUAUCAAGAGCUAUUACCUAAUUAGAAAGCUCUAUUUUUCUGUUUCUUGAUAUCUUACAAUUCAACUUAGCUUAGCAUCAUAACAUCAAAUCGUUAUUCCCGGCCCAAUCCAAACUCGGCCCAGUAUUAUAAUGCUCAAACGCUGUUUAAGUCUUCUGUGUAGUAUGGAGACAGUUUCCCACCACUCUUUUUAGACGCGUUUGGACUGCUACUGGAAACAGUACCAGGUACUUCUUGAAGCAUGAUCACAACUUUUCUCAUGGAAGGUCGGUUUAGAGGGAGAGGACUCAUACAGAGAAGACCAAUGUGUAUGACUUUGCUAAUCUCUUCUUUAAACCUGAGAUCAAGUUUUGGAUCUAUAACAGAUUCUAAACCGCAUUGGUCAAGCGUAGAGCACACCCAUUUCCCCAAAUCUUUUUCUCCAAGUUCUUGAUCUGUUGGUUGCUUCCCUGUAACCAAUUCCAAAAGCACCACACCAAAGCUGUAGAUAUCGCUCUUUUCAUUCACCCGAAGUGUGUAUACAUACUCUGCAAAAUUUAAAACUCGGAAUAUAAGUUGGAAUGUUAAAAGAAUGCAGUUGAAUUGUAUCGUUUCAUUCAGAUGGAUUUCUCUUGUAACUUUAUGGUAUUGUUUUGGUAAAUACCUGGUGCAAUGUAACCGCAAGAACCAGCGAUCCCGGACAUAGCUUCUGGCGUUUUGGAACCGCUCAUCUGACCAAUUUUUGCAAUCCCAAAGUCGGCAAUUUUGGCUCUGUAUUUUCCAUCAAGCAGUAUAUUACUCGACUUCACGUCGCGGUGCACAAUCGGAGGAACGCAAUCAUGGUGCAAGUACGAUAAACCCUCAGCAGCGUCCACAGCGAUUCUUAACCGCUCUGGCCAACCCAACAACAGCCGGCCUUUGCGUUCAUUGUGCAACACAUCAGCUAAGCUCCCAUUAGGCAUAUACUCGUACACCAACAACUUACAAUCACCGGAGCUGCAACAACACCACAAACGCACGAUACUCUUAUGCCUAAUCGUUCCUAGUGUUUCGACUUCCGCGGCAAAAAAGUCUCUGUUCAACGAAUCGCUGUAUUCAUCUCCUCCUUUAACAGUUUUGUUAAGUUUCUUCACAGCUACUACUUCUCCACCGCGAAGCUCCACUUUGUAGACUUUACCGGAGGAUCCAAACCCGAUCACAUUCCGUUCAUCAAGACAAUCAGCGAUUUCGUGCUCACUGAAAUGAAGCUUGUGAAAGGAUCUCCAUUUAGACGCUGCGAGUCUAGAGCUCUUUAAAGCUCUGAGCUUUCUACACUUAGCAACGAACAUAACGACCCCAACAACGAAAACCAAACCCGCAAGUGUGAAAAUCGAUAAGAGAAUCCAGACAUAGCCAAUGUUUUUAGACCGCGUGAUCUUCUGACAAAGACCAUCAAGAUCAACGCAUAAACCGGGAUUUCCAAUAAAGUCAUGUGCGUAUAUUUUGUCCCUGUACAGAAAAGGAAUGUUACCGGAGAGGCGAUUAUACGACAGAUUGAGAACGUUUAGCUUCAGGUUCUGCAGUUCCACCGGAAUCUCACCGGAAAAUUGAUUGUUGGAGAGAUCGAGGUAGUUAAGAACAGGCAAGAUUCCGACUUCUUUAGGGAUCUCACCGGAGAGAUGAUUAUUAGCCAAAUUGAGCUCAUUUAGAUUCUUCCAACCACGAAUCCCUCUAGGAAUCUCGCCGGAGAGUUGAUUCUUACUGAGAUCAAGCCUACUCAAUUGCUUCAACUUCACCAAGCUACCAGGAAUUACACCAUUGAAACCAUUCUCCGCUCCGGAGAACUCGAUCAGUCCCUUAAGCGAUCCGAUUUCGUCGGGUAUGGAACCUAAAAAUCGAUUCUUUGAGAUUCGUAGGUUUGAUAAAUUCUUCGCACCGAUGAUCGUCUUAGGAAUAACUCCGGUGAAUGAAUUUUCUGAGAGUUCGAGCAGUGAUAAGCGAGGCAAUCCCCAGAACUCGUGAGGUAUGUUACCGGAGAGCUUGUUGUUACUCAAUCGGACCCGAGUCAAGCUCUUGCAUUUUCCUAGACUUUGCGAGAUUUCUCCUGUGAACGAAUUGUCUAUAAGAAUUAGAUACUCCAGUUUCCCUUCGCCGCAGAGAUUCGCCGGUAUUUCGCCGGAGAAUUGAUUGUAUGAUAGGUCCACGUACUGUAACGGAGAGUUUGCGCCGAGUUGACUCGGUAACGUUCCGGUGAGUUUGUUGUUGAAUAGCUUGAGUUCGUACAAGUUUUUGGAGCGAGUUAUGCUCUCCGGUAAGGGACCUUCAAGCAUGUUUUCGAAGAGAUUGAGUGAUUCGAGGUUUAACAGAUUCAAUCCGUCGGGUAUCUUACCUCUAAGCUCGUUCGUCGACGCGUCGAAUCUUUUUAGCGUCGUCAUGUUACCCAUAGCUUCUGGUAACUCGCCUGAGAACGAGUUGUUGAAUAGUUCGAUUUGCUCGACGCUGUUCAGCUGUGUGAUCCAACUUGGGAUUGAUCCAGUGAGUUUAUUAAAUGUCAAAUCCAAGUUAACCAAACGAGUCAAUUUAGAUAGAGCUGAAGGUACCGGACCGACGAGGUUGCAGCCGGCGAGCCAGAGAACUUGAAGCUCUGUGAGGUUUCCGAGUUGACUUGGGAUAAGACUCGGAGAAAACAAAUUGUAAGCGAGUUUGAGUUCUUUGAGAGUCGAGACGUUGCCGAGCGUGGCGGGGAUUGUACCGGAGAGUAAAUUACCGGCGAGGUCUAAAGACUCGAGCUUUUGGAACUCUCCGAAGCUCGCCGGAAUCGUGUCUGAUAAGUUGUUACCGGAGAUUUCGAGGAACUUGAGGUUCGGGAGAUUGGAAGGAAGUGACUUUGGGAUGGACCCGACCAAAAGAUUCUCCGACAAAUCGAGAUAUUCGAGAUUACGACACGCCGUGAAGUCAUCGCCGGAGAGAGAACCAUUGAUGGAGUUGUUAGCAAGAGAGAGAAAGGAUAGAGAAGGAAGACGACAGAGGAUGGAGGGGAAAGGACCGACGACCAUGAAGCUUGAGAGAUCGACGGAGACGACGGAUGAGAAAGCGUCGCACUUGACGCCGUUCCAUUGACACGGCGUGACGUCGUUAUCGGACCAUGAAGAAAGGGACUGAACCGGGUCUGAUAAACUCAGUUUGGCUUGCCGGAGAAUGGUGGCAUCUUGGUUUAGAGAUAGACUUAGAUACGUGGAGGAGAGACAUAGGAGGAGAAUAAGACAAUAAAGCAUUUUUGUUAUAAAAAAAAAAGUUAUGGUUCUUUCAUGCUUUGGAUUUGUGAACAAAAACGAUAUUAUGGAUUGGUAAUUAUAAAGGGAUAUCUAGAAGCAAAAAGGGUAAUGGUCACUGUGACAAGACAUGGGUGAGACAUGUUUUUGAACAAUUCGGAGGCAAAUACAAUACAGUUCGAUGAUUUUUAUAUGAAAUCGAUUACAGAAUAAAGUACUACAUAUACAAAUCAUCUCCAAAAACAUAUAAAGUGAUAGAAAAAGAAACAUUUGGAUUCUAAUAGUUACAUAAAUAUACAUAGUGUAAUUUUUUAUUUAUAGGUAAAUAAGAACAUGUAAAUUAUUGUUCACUUCUUCAAUUAUUCGAAAAGAAAAACAAUGGUCAAUGGUCACUCUCUGAGUCAACUGUAAUGCUACUUUGGUCAACAUGAUGGAGAUACAUGGGCCAAGAGAUGCUGGAUCUAUGUUGACUUUUCUAGUUUGCAUAGAGGCUUCUGGAUUGGACUAAUGUUAUGAAUACAAACUACACAACUAGUGAUGGGAUCUAAUGUGGUUUUUGUGGAACGUAUAUCCUAUGAUUUUACUGUGUAUCGAUCUAAAAAAAAGUUGUUGAACCAAAAACCUAAAACAUACAUGAUCUCCCAACCCUAGAUUGAACAGAUAAUUUGAUGUGAUGGGCAUACGUUUGUAAAGCCGAGUGUGUAUACGUAGACAAGGUCAACUUUGGUUGGUCGGGAAAAAACAUGAUCCAACAGUAAUUUUUUGUUAGAUUACUUUCAUUUCAAUAAGAAAAGCAACAGUCACUUUGAUUUUGAAAAAAAACUACGAGAUUUAAGGGGGGAAAAGAGAGAAAAUGAUGGAUCUUGUCUUUAGCUAAUCUGUGAUCGGAUAUCACGAGUUUUUGCGAUGGUUACAACGCACUAUGCAGUAUGAUGUAACUUCAAGUCCAAUAAUGUUUUGGUCUUCUAACGAUAAUUACCACCACUCUUCCUAGUUUGCAUUCUCUUUACGUCUCCUCGAGUACGUUGCUUUUUUUUAAUGGUUUGGACUUAGUUUUAGUAAUAAAUUUAUAAUAACGAUAUGCUUCAAAAUCUUGUUAUUUUAGUGUUCCAAAAGAAAAUUGUUAGCUAUACCCAAAAACCACGUAAAAAAAGGUUAUACGUGAUAUAAUUUCGUUUUAUUAAAUCCAUGUUUAAUAUGGUUUGCAUGUAUACAGCAUGUAAAUUUUUUCAAAUGAAACAGAGAAUAGCAAAGUUUUCGUUUUUGAAGUUUUAUUAACAAAUACAAUUUUGAGUUGCAGGUCCACUUACCAACUGAUAACCUCUUUUAGCCGAAGAAUAAAUUCGUGCAUAGACCAAUCCAAUACAAUUCUUCAUGGACCAUACGUUAGACUUAGACACUAACUAGACUAGACAGAUUAUAAUUAAGCCACGUCAUUGAAGAGCACGAAACUUACAUUAUUUCGUAUUUUUUGGGAUCCUCCAUAAUCAUCAAUAAUUUAGAACCACUGAAUUAAUUUUUCUAUUUCAAGAAUGGCAAAGUAAUACCAUUGUAUUCUCUUAUCUUCAUGUAGUUUAAUAGACUUAUAGCAUUGCUUGUGUAAAUUAUAUGAAAUCACCUGUAAAUUUUUAUCACAACAAUAUCAUAGAAGUAUAUAUAUAAUCUUCAUAGUUGAUACUAAGGAAACGGUAACAGAGUUUUUUUUAAAAGUUAAAUCCUUUCUGUUACAAACCUCCUAUUUCUUGUUUCGUUACUCAAAUGGUUUUUACGUUUUGUUAUUGCUAAUCUUGACCUGCAACAGAAACAUAAAAAUGGAAGAACAGAAUAUCAACCUUGAAACCUUAACAACAACAACUCAACCGAAGCAGACACCAAAACAAAGAAAGAAAGAAAUCGAAACCCAUAAAAUCUUGUACAAUCCUUUCAUAUCAGAAUAAGCACCAGAGAGACAAAAAGGAAAAGAAAAGAAGAGAUACAUAAUCAUUUGAAAUUGCAGAUAUAAAAAAAUUCAGUGAUGGAAGAGACAAAGCAGUCAUUGAUAGCAUCUUUGCCGGCGGCACCAAGAAAGCCGAAGUCGAAAGUAGAGAAAUUUGCGAGGAAAACAUUCAAAGGAACAACUCAUUUGUCAAAUCUACUUCCGACCGGUUCGGUGAUGAGUUUUCAAAUAAUGUGUCCGGUCCUAACCCAUCAGGGUCAGUGUCCGACCAUCACCAGUCGCUGGCUCACCUGCUUCCUCGUCUUCGUAUGCGCCAUCUCUUGCUUCAUCUUCUCCUUUACCGACUCUAUCAGAGACCCAAACGGCAAGGUAAUAUACAUUUCUCUAUCACAUUUUAGCUAUUUUUAUAUUUACCAUUCGUAUGACAUAUCAAAACUCAAUGUUGUAGAUUAGGUACGGAAUCGCGACAUGGACCGGGCUAUGUGUGAUAGACGGAUCAAUAACUCUAACGGAUGAGGAGAAGGCAAAGUAUAAGCUACAGAUUCUUGAUUUCGUGCACGCAAUCAUGUCAAUGCUCGUCUUCUUUGCAAUCUCCAUGUUUGAUCAGAACGUAACCCGUUGUUUAUUCCCUGUUCCUUCCGAGGAAACUAAGGAGGUCCUUACCAGUUUGCCUUUUAUCAUUGGUGUCUUUUGUGGUGGCUUCUUCCUCGCGUUCCCGACACGCCGUCAUGGCAUCGGAUCCCCACUCACCAAAGAGUAACUUCAUACUCUUACACAAAAUGACGUAAAGUUUUAGUUAUCUUCAAAUUUUUGUUUCUGGAUGACAUGUAACGGAAUCUUGAAAAGAACUAUUCUUUAAAAAAGAUUUGAAAGAACUAUUCUGUAAAAAGAAGACUUGUUUAACAACACGAAAUUAAUGAAGAGGGGGAGAAUUCCCUAUAAAUCGUAUAUUACCAAAUGAUCUUAAUCUCCACACAUCACAAGACAGAAGCUUUAAUCAUUAUCACCCAAGAAGCUUCUUAAACCCAGCUUUCUGUUCCGCAGUUAAUCUCGCUGGAAACUUGAUAUUGAACUUGAUCCUCAAGUUCCCUUUCUUUGUCUGAUCUUUCUGAAGUGGCAUUCCCUCUUUAGGAACCACCUCUUCAUACUCUGGAUGGAUCACGUUGGUGACCGGGAUUGCAAGUGUACGGCCAUCAAGGGUCGUUAUGUUUGUGGUGUAGCCUGUCAAGGCAUCAGCUAGUGAGAUCUUCUGUGUGACAAUCAGAUCGUUACCCUCUCGAGUGAACACUGGAUGGGGUUUCUCGUCAAUGAUGAAUACUAGAUCCGCUGGAAUCACACCCGGAUGCUCAUUGCCUUUCUCUGGGAAUGUGAUCUUUGUGCCUUUCUUCCACCCGGGUUUCACUCCAAUUGUUAGAAUCUCUUCCACUUGCAUUGCCUUUCUGCAUUUAGCAGAAGAAAAAAGAUAAGAUAGAUAUUAGAUACUGUCAAUACAACAACUAAGGCCAGCUCAAAUCAAACAGGUAAUAAAGCAGGGGAAGUUUAUAUUCAGCAUUGAUCAAUACCUUCAAAAUGAUACUGGAAUAUAAUGCAUAAUGUUACAGAAACUAAAGCUUGAAACAAAAGUUUCAUAUGUCUUCAUACUUGGGAGGUUGUCUUUCAAAUCCAUGCCUUAUGUUAACUAGUAGAUAAGUCCAAUACAAAAACUUUCUAAGUGUGAUCGGAUUGGUAGCUGAGUUUGAUCACUUACCCGCUGACAUCUACAAUCUCCCUGGAGAUCUUCAUCUUCUUGGUGGUUCCUUUGUAGAGAUCUUCAAGGCUACAAGGCAACUUGUUCUCGAUAGGAGCCACUUUCCUAGCUGGAGCGUGAUGAUGAUGAUGGUGAUGAUGAUGCAUUGGUCCUCCUCCACCUCCUCCAUCACCAAACGAGGCAUACACAUCAUCACCAAACAUGCGGCUAGAGAACCUCGGCCCUCCGCUGCCACCACCUCCACCACCAAAGGGGGUCGAGAACCCGAAAAACUCAGCGAAUAUAUCAUCCGGGCUUCUCGGGUUGAAUCUGAAAGAUGAAGGUCCAUCUCCUGUUGAGAAGUAGGAAGCUCCACCAGCAGCAUUGGGAGGUGGCACGUUCCCUUUUAACCCUUCCUCACCGUACUGAUCGUACACCGCUCUCUUCUGAGGAUCGCUAAGAACCUACAAGAAGUCACAUCCAAAACAACAUCAGCCACACAUAAAAAACCUGAAUCAGUGUAAACAAUCUUAGUGAAAUUGAGUAAUAGAUAAGCAUAGGAAACACAAACUACAACUUUUGGGAUCCUAUUGGCUAAUUCGAUUCCUACUAUAGGACAGUGACCUCACAUAAUCUAGUUAGCCCAAAAAUAAAGCAAGUAUCUUUUAGUUUCAUACUAUGACUCGUAAACACGAAAUCUGGAAAACCCAAACGAGCUAACACAACACCAAAUCGUAAAAUCUGACUAAUUUGAAUCUCAAAUCGAAAAUUAGAAACAAGUUCGUGACCGCCGACAGAAUCACAGGAGGAGGAAAAAAAAAACUCUUUUAAGUACAAAUAAAAAUCAAAACUUUGAGGACGAUUUCAAUAAAGCAAAUCAUAAUUUUAAAUAGAGAGGCAGUGGUGAGGAAUCAAACACGAAAAACAUACAUCGUAGGCUUCAGAGAUCUGCUUGAACUUAGCCUCAGCGUCUUUUUUGUUGUUAGGGUUCUUGUCGGGAUGCCAUUUCAUAGCGAGUUUUCUAUAAGCUUUCUUAAGGUCAUCGUCGCUGGCGCUUCUAUCAACCUGUAGAACCUUGUAAUAAUCAACUCCCAUCUCACCUUCUUCUUCUUCUUCUUCUCUCUUUCGCUUCUUCACUUUUCCUGAAUCCGAUUAAUCAGCAAAGGUCUUUGAUUGAUUGAUUUUUUUUUAUGUGUUCCUUCUUCUUCGUCGUCUCUAGUCUCUUCGUCUUCGGCUUUCGAUGGUUCUUAGUAGAAAAUCUCGUGGAAGGUUCGAGAAAACACGAUCUCUCCGUUGACGGGGAGGUGACGGUGUUUUUAAUCACAGCUUUGCCCUCUUUUGGCUCUUGCCUUCUCCAUUUUUUCCCUUUAAUUAUCGUUGAAGUUUUUAGAUUCUCCAUUUAUGUAAGAUAAAAAUAAAAAUUAAUUCAGAAAAACAAUUAAAUGCUAUUUCCUUUUUCAUUAUCUAAUAAGUUUUGAGUUGGACAAAUAUUGCGAAAUUUAUCUAAAAAAGCCGUGUAGAAUAAGACAUGUAACGUAUUUAAUUAAAUGUUUGUAAUUAUAUUGUCAAAAAAAUAUAAGAAAUUUCAAGUGUUUUUUUUUAUAGAGAUUUUAACCCAAAAAAAUAGACCAUACCAGAUAAGUAAGGCCCAAUAGUAGCUCAAUAAAUAUGGGCCUCAAUGGAAUUCUUGAUGGAGGGGUAAUCUUCUCCGGUAUAAGUGUUGCGACUUUUUUUUCUUUUGAUAAAUUGUUUUUUCUAUUUUCUACAGUUGAACCUUUGUGCUUGAGUUCCCCCAUAAGAAAAAGAAAAGGCAUACUUCUUCUUCUUAAUCUCUUAAACGUGCAAUUUUCCGACUUAGGGUUUCGGCGAGAGCUCAUAAGUAGAAGCUACUCGAUCGUUUCGGAUUUCGAUUAUCAUUGUUUGGAUUCCUCGGGGUUUGAUCGGGUGUUAGUCUGACUAAAAUGGCUCCAGUUCCGGAUCCGAACAGUGUUGCCGGUGGUGCGAAGCGGGAUGAAGCUACGUUGAAGGUUCCUUCUAAGGAUCCCAAGAAGAAGGAUGAUAAAAAGGAAGAUGAUCUGGUGAGCUCUCUUUGCUUCCGAUUUUGCUUUCUCUUUUGUAUCGUGCUUAGCUGAAAGACUUUGCUGGAUUUAUUUAGUAUCGGAAGUAAAUUUCACGAUUGAGCUGUAGGUUUUGCCAGAUUUAGGGUUUAGUUGAUAAUCUGUUCAUUGGAUUUGAAUGCUUCGUAGAUUGAAUGCCACAUUGCUAUUUAAAAACCGGGAUUACGAAGUUGGUAAAAGUUCUUGGAUAUCAAAAUUCUUGUUAGGGUUUACUCCUGUGGUAUUUUGUAUAGGUAUAUCCAUUAGCCAGUUUUGUAUAUAGUUUGAUUGCUAGCUGACUCGGUUUGUAUAUGAUGUCAUUGCAGUCGGAAGAGGACUUGCAACUAAAGCAGAACCUGGAGCUCUAUGUUGAGAGAGUUCAGGACCCCAAUCCUGAGUUGCAGAAAGCUGCUCUUGAAAGCAUGAGGUAAUUCUUGUACCUAUAAACAUUGGCUGUAAAUAUUCUGAUAAUCUUCGUCGGAAUUUGUUUUAUGGUCUUGUGGUACUUCUUUUACUGCUUUUAACUACCUUGUUCAUUUUUUCCUUUUUAUUCGUAGUCUAAUCUUGAUUCGGUCUGUAGGCAGGAAAUUCGUGACGCAACAAGCUCCAUGACAUCAGUUCCAAAACCCCUCAAGUUUCUCCGUCCUCAUUAUGGAACUCUCAAGGAAUUUCAUAUAAAAAUGGCGGAUUCUGAUCUCAAAGUAAGUUUUCAGACAUUUUAAGUAAUUUCUCAUCAUCACCUUCUUGUUCCUUCUACUGAGUAUGGAUUAAGAUCAAAAUCCCUGUUUCUGCAGAAAAUGUUGGCUGAUAUACUUUCUGUCCUGGCAUUGACCAUGUCUGCUGAAGGUGAAAGGGUAUGCUUUCUUUCUAUUGCUGUAGGAGUUUCUUACCUAUUGCUAUUUAUUUCACUUUCCUUUUUGUUUUCCUCUUCGGAUAUGUCUUACCAGAUUUGUGGUUCUUGGUAGAAUUUGACGAAGUUAUUUGUUGCUGAUCCUACGUUAUACAAUACUGUUUCAGGAAAGCUUAAAGUAUAGGUUGACUGGAACAGAGGGUGACAUAGGAUCUUGGGGUCACGAGUAUGUCAGGAAUUUGGCCGGAGAGAUUGCAGAAGAGUAUACAAUGCGUCAGGUUAGAAAAAAAUUUGUUCUUUGGCAAUGUUCUUUCACUCCAAGAGUUUUACUCCUAUUAUAGAAACGUCAUGAAUCUUUUGUUUUCUCUGCUGGUCUGUUGAUGAAUUUUAUGACAAUAUGUUUUUUAUUUUGGUUAGAAUCGUUACUGAAAUAUGGUUAUAUGCUCAUUCUUUCUUUAAUGUCAGGGUGAAGAGUCCUCUAUUGAAGACUUAAUGGAACUUGUGCGGCAAAUUGUUUCUUUUCACAUGAAGGUGAGAUCCUUACAGUUUCGUGGUCCGAUGGCCCCUUAUAAUAAGAAGGGGUUUCCAUUGUAUAUCUAAAUUAGUAAAUGUUUGAUUGAUAGGCUUGAAAAUUUCACCUCUUAUUUUUCCCAUCUUUGAAGCUUUCCAUUUUGUUCUUGCAGCAUAAUGCUGAAACUGAAGCUGUUGACCUUUUAAUGGAUGUUGAGGAUCUUGAUCUCUUACUUGAGCAUGUUGACAGCACAAAUUUCAGGAGGACGUGCAACUAUCUCACAAGUGCAGCAAAGUAAAUCCAUUAUGUUGAUCUUAUUCAUUUGACAGGCGAUUUCCUUCAUUUAUGGUUUUAGAUCACUCAUACUGUUAUUUACAUGAUCCCUUUGAUAUUGUAUGUAUUUGUUCAGGUAUCUUCCAGGACCAGAUGACAUGUUGGUUCUAGAUAUUGCUUACAUGAUCUACAUGAAGUUUGCAGAGUAUCCAAAUGCUCUGCAAAUUGCAUUAUUUCUUGAUAACAUGCAGGUAUGGGCUCUAAUCUUCAUAUAGAACUUAAUAUACUCUUUCUGAAACAUGGGGAGAUCUGAAAAACACUCUCCUCUAACUUGUGUAUUUUUCUUGUAGUAUGUGAAGCAAGUAUUUACCUCGUGUUCUGAUUUGCUAAAAAAAAAACAGUUCUGCUACAUGAUUGCACGUCAUGUAAGUUCUUAAUAAAUUGAAUCAGCAUAAAGGCGCAGUACCCGAUGAUUUGUUUUCUUAUAUUUCUUUUUCUGUUGUUAUUUCUCCUUGCAGGGUAUCACCUUUGAGCUUGACCAGGAGAUGGUUGCAAAUAACGAUGACAAAGACGCCCUACAAGAUAUUGUUAACAACACUAAGUUGGGUGAUGGAUAUCUGACACUUGCUAGGGAUAUUGAGGUCAUGGAGGCCAAGACGCCUGAAGACAUCUACAAGGUUUAUCAGUUUAACUGAAUAUUACGCCUGUUACUGCUUUAUUUGGUCACAUGAUAUGUUCAUGUCAGUGCCUCUUACCUCAACUGUUCACUGAAAUUUUGCAGGCUCACCUGAUUGAUGGUCGAGCUAGCUCUGGUCCAAGUGUGGAUUCAGCUAGACAAAAUCUGUCUGCGACUUUUGUGAAUGCAUUUGUAAAUGCUGGUUUCGGUCAGGUAUGAUUACAGAAUCUUAUGGUGUGCAAAUAAGAAGAAAUUUGGAAGCUGCCUUUGAUAUACAGUAUUUCCUUAUUGCAGGACAAAUUAAUGACAGUACCAUCAGACUCAACUGGAUCGGCUGGAAACUGGAUCUUCAAAAAUAAAGAUCAUGGCAAGAUCAGUGCAACUGCUAGUCUGGUAUGCCUCUUCUUACUUGAUGAAUUGACUAGCUAUGGUCAUAUUUGAAGUAAAAACUGUAACAUUACCUUGUUGCUUCCCAAUUCUAGGGUAUGAUUCAUUUGUGGGAUGUGGACACGGGACUAUCUCAACUGGACAAAUAUUUGCAAGUUAGUGAUAAUUCCAUAGUCGCUGGAGCUGUGCUGGGAAUUGGGAUUGUUAAUUGUGGCAUCAAGAAUGAUUGCGAUCCUGUGAGUAGAUUUUAUUUUUUAUUCUAUGGGAGCGUGUGUGUUCAUUACUUUUUGCCAUUAAUUCUCACUCAGCUCUCUUUCUCAGGCAUUAGCGCUUCUUGGAGAUUAUAUUGACAAAGAGGAUUCAUCUGUCCGAAUUGGUGCUAUUAUGGGUCUUGGAAUUGCACAUGCGGGUUCCCAAAAUGAUGAGGUGAAUACAUGUUAUUAUUACCUAUAGUGCUUCGUUGAAUGUUCUGUUGACAAGACAAUAACCAUGCUUACUGUUUGGAUAGAUAAGAAACCGUUUGUCUCCAAUACUAAAUGAUGCAAAAGCACCUCUCGAUGUGAUUGCAUUUGCUGCACUUAGUUUGGGGAUGAUUUACGUUGGUUCGUGUAACGAAGAGGUGGCACAAUCUAUUAUAUUUGCUUUGAUGGAUCGGAGCGAGGCAGAACUGGAUGAAGCCCUCACUCGUUUCUUGCCUCUUGGACUUGGACUUUUGUACCUUGGUAAACAGGUAGGCAGGGAGUCGUACUUGAUAAUUUUCUUGUUCGUGUACCUGACUGUUUUUUCCAGCUUAUUAGUUUUAACUUGUUACAAUAUCGAGCAGGAAAGUGUGGAGGCUACUGCAGAAGUUUCAAAGACGUUCAAUGAGAAAAUCAGAAAGUAUUGUGAUAUGACACUUCUUUCUUGUGCAUAUGCUGGAACUGGGAAUGUCCUUAAGGUAUCUGUUCAAAUGUGCUAGUGAUUGAAUUAGAUUAUUCACUGCUUUCUAGUUUAGUCGCUGAUUCUUCAAAUUAGGUCCAAGACCUUCUGGCUCAGUGUGGGGAGCAUCUGGAGAAAGAUGAUAUUCACCAGGGUCCAGCUGUGAUUGGAUUAGCAAUGGUUGCUAUGUCUGAAGAAUUGGGUCUUGAUAUGGGGAUACGUUCUUUGGAGCGUGUGUUACAGUAUGGAGAACAGAAUGUUCGGCGGGCAGUGCCUUUGGCUCUUGGUCUCCUCUGUAUAUCAAACCCAAAGGUGAAUGUUAUCUUUGUGAAUCAAAUUUACUUUUCUACAUAAGAAUACUGCUGUUACUCUCUAAACUUCUUUAUAAUUCCAGGUGACUGUUAUGGACACCUUGAGCCGGCUAAGCCAUGACACAGAUUCAGAGGUUGCUACGGUGAGUUAGCUUUUUGCCACUCAUGGUUGGGUUAGUAGUUAUUUCAUUGACUUGCUAUGUGGCGUGGAUUGAUGUUUCAUCUGAUCCUACAGGCAGCCAUUAUCUCCCUUGGUUUGAUAGGCGCUGGAACCAACAAUGCAAGGAUAGCUGGCAUGCUUAGAAAUCUCUCCAGCUAUUAUUACAAGGAUGCCAGCCUUCUCUUCUGUGUAAUGUGUUAUUUUUAAUAUUUUUUUCCCAUGCAAGAAACAUAAGUUCAACUUACUCUAGGUUUGUUCUCAUUGUGUUACGUCCUAAUGCAGGUGCGUAUUGCUCAAGGGUUUGUGCAUAUGGGAAAGGGUCUAUUAACUCUCAGUCCUUUCCACUCUGAACGGCUAUUGCUAUCGCCGUAAGUGGUAGCGUAUAUUUUAUGAAUACUUGGCUUUCAAAGUUCCACCCUGUGAAUCCGUAACAUGGGUGUUGUGUUUUGUACCCAGAACUGCUCUUGCUGGUAUAGUGACAUUGUUGCAUGCAUGCCUUGACAUGAGAUCCAUCAUAUUGGGGAAAUUCCACUAUGUGCUCUACUUCAUUAUUUUGGCGAUGCAGGUGAGUGCAAUGUUCUAUCCAUGACUUUUUUGUAAUGGACUAAACAGUGUUUAUCUACUGACACAAUGCGGUUUGAGUGUGCAGCCAAGGAUGAUGCUUACAGUGGAUGAGAACCUGAAGCCUAUCUCGGUGCCAGUGCGGGUAGGACAAGCAGUUGAUGUGGUUGGACAGGCGGGUCGACCGAAGACAAUCACUGGGUUCCAAACACACUCGACACCUGUUCUCCUUGCUGCUGGGGAGAGAGCCGAGCUCGCAACCGAGAAGUAUGUUGUUCCUCUAAAGCCCGUGUGUUACAUUAUCAUACUCAAAACAAAACUGUGUGUUACAUUUCGGAAUCUCAAAAAAUCUGGUUUUGUUUUUUGGGUUUACAGGUACAUACCGUUGUCGCCCAUAUUAGAAGGUUUCAUCAUAUUGAAGGAAAAUCCAGACUACAGAGAAGAGUGAAUCCAAAGUUGGAAGUGCGAGCAUAUGAAAGAAAGAGAGCCUUUAAAUACUUUCACUGUGGUUUUAUGUGCACAGUCAGUUUUUUUCUUUCUUAGUUAAUUCGCGUCUGUUACAAGGAAAUGGUUCACAAUCUUUCCUUUUCAAAAAGAAAAACCGCUUCACUGCGUCAACUAGGAACUUUUUGUGCACUUUUAACAUCAUUCUAUUAUAUAGAUGGAUAAGUUUUGAAAUCCAAAAUCUUUAACCUGUCCUUGAAAUCAUCUACUUGUUAAUAGUUCUUAUUCCCUAUAAAAGGAGGAAAUAAAGUAAGCUUGGGCAUAGUGCUCUUUGGUUUGCUGCCAGGAAAAACUUAAAUCUCAUGCUUUGUACUCCAACUUCAGUUUAGCAAAGGCUCCUCUCGUUGUCUUGAGGAUUUGGCAAAAGCUCAAGUAAUAUAAUAAAAUGAAGAAAGGUGACCUAGCCGGCUACAUAUUACAUAUAUGGCGUGCACGACUCACUCGUUUCCCCCCUUCUGUCUUUUUCUUUUCUGUUUACAUAAUUUCGUUCCCAACUACCCACAAAAAUAACUCUCUCGUAUCGUAAAACCAGAAGUAUAAAAUCUUAUUAAAAAUUAGCAGCGACCAACAAAGGUAAAAUCAUGUACAUGUAUAUUUUAGCUUCUGUCACAAAAUAGUAUGUGAAGUUUGCCUAAAGAACUCAGAAAAAAAAACAAUAAAUAAAGAAACAAAUGAAUGGAAUACAGUUUUCACUGUUUGUUCAGGCCGGUAUAUGUAUGUCCAACCAAAAGGAAGAAAAAAGAAAGUAAUUUAAUGGCCACGACCUCUUGGACUCGGACCGGACGCCAACCGCUGAAACCACGAAUCAACCGUCGACUUCAUCUUCUCCACCGUUCCGUUCUCAGAUCUUUCCGUUAGAACCCUCCCCGCAGAAGCCUGUUCUACAACAAAAAACGCCACCAUCACCACCACAAUCAAAACAGUAGACCAACUAACUCUUCUCAUUUUUAUUUUGCUUUCUCUUCUUUUAAGUUUGUACCGACAAAGUAUUACCAAAAAGGAGAAGUUUUUUUGUUUGGUUUGGUUAUGGAAAGAAGACUCUAUAGGAGAUAUGGAUAUGUGGGAAUAAAAUGAUAAAUAAGAGGGAGUAGGAGUAUGUAUAUAUAUACAUAGUAACAAGGAAGCGGUCAUGAUGAUUCAUGACUCGAGAGUUCAUCACUUUAGGUCGGAUUUUCCCCGCGCUAGCUCACGAUUUCGCGUGUUGACCAAGUAUUAUGACUUGAACGGGUCGCUCCGCCUCCUAAACACUUACGUGAACUUACAUUUAUGUCCUCCCCCAUUUUGGUGUCACUGUGUGGAGUUUUUUUAGUUUAGUCAAUGCGAGUUUUUUUUUGUAAAAUAAAGUAUACCAAAUACAGCGGAGUUGUUGUUUUACGCGGUUACUAUUAUUAUUCAAAAAUACUAUAAAAGCUAACAACUACCAAGUUACCAACGUGCUGUUUUAUCGUAUUCAUCGUUUUUAAUAGUACUAUAGCUGUAUUAAGAUUAGUUCUAAUAUAUUUUUACUGAUAAGAAUAUAAUUUUUACUUUAAUUUAUUCAUUUAUAUAUGAAUUACAGGAUUUAUAUAUAUAUCACCAUAAACAAACAUAUAAAACUUUGAUUUUUGUUUCGAAAAGUCCUGGUUGAGUUUUGAAAAACUUCACGCGUAAAUCAAGAUUGACUAAUUAAAGUACUGCAGAGAGGACCAAUUCACAAUUUCACCUAGAUAAUUCUCUUAUCAGUUUAGGUAAUGGGGAUAAUGUAUUGUAAAAUAAUACAUUUCAAGUUAAUGUAAUAUAAAUUAAUUGCGUAUCAGUUGUGUUAGCUAGUAGGUAUUAGUGAUGAAGAAAUUAAAAUAUAUACUGAUAUACAAACGAAUUAAAGAACCAAGUAGACAAGUGUUUGGUAGGUAGGUAGGUUUAUUCAGUUUUAAAAAAACUUGGAAUUCUCAAGUGAUUUUUGGUUCAAUAUACUAGCUAGCUUGUAGUCAUACAAGCAUAUCUAUUUGAAAAGUGAUAUCUAAAGACUGUUUAAUUUUAAGAAACAUUGAUAUUCAAAACAUGCGAAUGUUGACUGUCCAACAAAUUCAAGGGGAUAGUCUUGUGCUACUCCUACCAAACUAAUACUAAGUAAAAAAAAGUCCUAUAUAUAUUGUAGUACAACAAAAUUCAACCCUCAUGUAUUUUGGGUAAGCUGAAUGAAUAUUCUGCUGAGUUUUAUUUACUGUGUCUUCGGAUCGGGUCAAAAUAGAUUAUAGUUUAUAAUCAAUUAUACUGAAUCGAUCAUAGUACUCUAGUUAGUGAUCUUAAAGAGGUUUACUUUUGAGAAAAUCUUAUGAAACACCAACCAGUUAAUUGAAUACGGAUCCUUCAUUCAUUGAAAUAAUAAUAUCUUGUUCUUCGAAAAUGCAAUUAAUUUCUGUUAUUUAAAGAAAAAGAAAAAAAAGAAUUACUUUUGCAAUUUGGGGUUGACAUUAGCUUUUGUGAUGGUUUUGGGCCAUCAUAGUAAAACGGCCCAUUAAGACAUAAAUUAUUGUCUAAUUAAGCCCAUCACAUAAACCUUCCAAAGCUUUUUCGUCUGCUUCAUCUCCUCUCCCAAAACCCUUCCUCUAGGUUUAGUGUUUCGCUGUCUGGAACGAUAUCUCUCAGUCACUCAAGUCUCUCCCCCCAAUAGUAUUCGCCGUGACCUUCUUUUCUAAUCGUAUACAAUGAGGAUUAAGACGUUAUCGAGAUCGAGUGAUGAAUUCACCCGAGAAAGAAGUCAGGAUCUUCAGGUAACUUUUGCAUACCAAUAAAAAACCUUAGGAUUCAGUGUCUAUACAUAUUCUAAUCAAUUUAUGUGAUUCCAGAGGGUCUUUCACAACUUCGACCCAAGUCUUCGACCCAUGGAGAAGGCUGUGGAAUACCAGAGAGCUCUUAAAGCUGCCAAAUUAGAAAAGGUAACUAUUUGCAAUUACCUCCCUUCAAAUUUUGUUCCUUUGUUUUAAUUUUUUUUGAAGUUUCAUUGUGGAGUUGUAUUGAUUGGUUUUGGAACAAUUUCUCAAAUUUGCAUCUGUUUUUUCCUUGUUCUGUAGAUAUUUGCAAGGCCGUUUAUAGGAGCAAUGGAUGGUCAUCGUGAUGGAGUCUCGUGUAUGGCGAAGAACCCGAAUUACCUCAAGGGAAUCUUCUCAGCUUCUAUGGAUGGAGGUAAGUAUAUUACCUCUUGUUUUCUUCUCCAAGUUUUAACACUUUUUUGAAACUUUGAUGAUGAUAAGAUCUAUGGAAAGGGAUUCAAUAGAUAUUGCAGGAAUCUAUAUGGUGAUUACUUGGUUUAUAUAUGGAUUAGUUGUACUGUUGUAGCAUUAAAGUAUAGGGAUAGUGCUCAAAGUUUGGUCAUUUUUAGUUUGCUGUAACUGGCACUAGCAAAUUAUGUAAUUGAUACUAUCUUUCUCUUUCUUCUCUGCAGAUAUUCGCCUUUGGGAUAUCUCUUCAAGGUUAAAAUCUUGAAAACUAAUUCUCUUCUGAACUAAUUUGAUCUUCAUUUAGUUUUUUUCUGUUUUUAAUUUCUAUGUUUUGUGUUUUGGUGAAUGAACUCUGGAAUUUGGAACAUGCAGGCGUACAGUUUGCCAAUUCCCUGGUCAUCAAGGUGCUGUGCGUGGUCUUACAGCGUCCACUGAUGGCAAUGUACUGGUUUCAUGUGGAACUGAUUGCACGUAAGAUAUGAUAAGGAUUUAAUUGUUUUAAAUUUUCCAGUCGUUGAUCAGAUUUUAGGCCGUCAAACUAAGGUGAAUGGAUUUCUGCAGUGUUCGUUUGUGGAAUGUUCCUCGUCCUACACUUGAAGAUUCUAGCGUUUCAUCUGAAAAUAUCAUUAAGGUAGUUCUUGUAAAAUUCUUUUUUUUUGUUUGUAAUAUUGUAUUAUCAUGUGCUUGCUCUUACCUUAUAUAACAACAAGCUUAUUACACUUAUUUUCAGCCAUCUGCAGAAUAUGUCUGGAAGAAUGCUUUCUGGUAGACUUCUUACACUUCAUUCAAUUUCUCAUGAUUCUAUCGGUCCAAAAAAACUUGAGCUACUUUUUUUUGUUUUUACUUAUUUCUAGGGCUGUUGAUCAUCAGUUUGAAGGUGACCUUUUUGCUACGGCUGGUGCUCAACUGGAUAUAUGGAAUCACAAUAGGUACUCAGGCUCCUGCUGAUAGAAUUUUUGGUGCAUGUUUUAAUUUAUUUUAAGUAGUACUUAAGGUUGUACCUUGUUGUAAUUAGGGCUCAGCCAGUUCAGAGUUUCCAGUGGGGAACGGACUCUGUAAUAUCUGUCCGGUUUAAUCCCGGAGAGCCUGAUAUAUUGGCUACAUCUGCUAGGUAAUAUACUUUCUACUUUCUACUUUCUACUUUAUACUUUUAUAUGUUAUGUGAUUGUCUGUGCUAGACCUUGCAGAGCUUUCUCUAACAUUAUAAGAGGAUUUCUCUUCUUCCAGUGACCGCAGCAUAACCAUAUAUGAUCUCCGCAUGUCUUCUGCAGCAAGGAGAAUCAUCAUGAUGGUAUAGUUGUAACUUGUUCAGCCAUUCUCGUCAUAUGAAUUCAUUUUUACUCUUCAAACUAAAAAUUGCAACUGUGGUCUGCAAAUUGCUUUUUGUUUGGCAGACAAAAACAAAUUCAAUUGCAUGGAACCCCAUGGAGCCUAUGAACCUGACAGCUGUAAGUGAUAAUCAUAAUGUGAAAUGUUCUCUGAUGAGUUAACAUUUGGUUUUUGCUUACGUGCUAAUUUCAACCCAUGGUAAACUGAAUAGGCUAAUGAAGAUGGUAAUUGCUAUAGCUUUGAUGGUAGAAAGUUGGACGAAGCCAAGUGCGUGCAUAAAGAUCAUGUUUCUGCAGUGUAAGAGUGAAGAAGGAUAAAUCCCAACUAUCAGAUAUAAUAUAUUAACAAGCUAUAAUAUUGAUCUAAUUUCAUCAUUUAUACAGGAUGGAUAUUGAUUUUUCACCAACUGGUCGUGAAUUUGUUACGGGUUCUUAUGAUCGAUCGGUGAGAAUCUUCCCAUACAAUGGAGGGCACAGCAGGGAAAUUUACCAUACAAAGAGGAUGCAGAGGUACGAUCUAGUGAACAACUCUGUAUAUAUUUGAAAUUCAGAUAUUCUGGUGUACCACCUUAUGAAUUUGUUUUAGGCUAAUUUUAUAUUUUAUUGCUAUCUUCUUGUAGAGUAUUCUGUGUCAAGUAUAGCUGUGAUGCUACAUAUGUAAUAUCAGGCAGUGAUGAUACCAAUCUCAGGCUAUGGAAGGCAAAAGCAUCAGAACAAUUGGGAGUUGUAAGAUUUUGUGAAUUUUCUUGUUACACUCACUAGCAUUAGAUUAAUUUAGACAAAACAAAAACCGAAGAAAAGUUACUGUAGGCUAAACCAUGGAUUCAAUAGUGUAUUACUGCAUAUGCUAAACCAUGAGAUAUUACUUGUACAUGCUCUCUUAAAUAUUUUCAACUUAGGAACGGUGAUUCUCAACGUUGACUGGUGAUUUGUGUUACAGAUUCUUCCAAGGGAACAGAAGAAGCAUGAGUACAAUGAGGCUGUGAAGAACCGGUACAAGCAUCUUCCUGAGGUCAAGCGCAUUGUGAGGUACAUGACAAAAAAAAACUGUAGUUUUAUCUCAUGUUUCUAACUUUGGAGAUUGUCAAAAGAUAACCGUAGUAACAUGGUAACGUUUUGGAUAUUGUGAAAUACAGACACAGGCACUUGCCAAAACCAAUAUACAAAGCAUUGGGGGUCAUCCGAGCUGUGAACGAUUCAAAGAGAAGAAAAGAAGAGCGAAGGAAAGCUCACAGUGCACCAGGAACAAUUGUCACAAAACCUCUGCGCCAAAGAAGGAUUAUCAAGGAAGUGGAGUGAGUUUAAUCUUCUUCUUUUUGUUCGUAUCACGGAAAAAGAUACGUUAGGUGAUUUUGUUGGUAUAGUGAGGGUAAGGUUAGGAACCUCUGCUAUAUGUUAUGCCCAUGUCGGGUUUUUUAGCUUCACUAACCAUUGUGUUCAUGAAUUACUCCUUUUGGGUGUUUUAAAGCUGAUCUUAAAGUAAUAAUUUGAUUUUAUGUGCUUACAGUUUCUCUUGACAAUGCCAUUAACUAUAGAUGAGAAUAUGAGAUAUACAAUGAAGUGCAUAACUGGCUCUAUAAAGAGCUUUAGAGAGUGUAAACAAACAUACGGGUAAUAUGCAAUGCAAGACGAUAGAUAUAAGGAAAGUUUGGGAAUGAAAAAUCUUAUUUUACUGUAUUAAAUAGUGAACUAGCUCACAGUGGUCUUUUAACUUACAUCAACACAAAUUAAAAGAAACAAUCACAAUACCGUAGACUCAAAUAGUUUUCCAGAGCAAGAUCCUGACCGCAUAUUUUAGGGUAAAAAAAAGGAAGCAUUCCUACAAGCAUCUCUGGACCAGUCAUACAAUCUUCAUAAUCUAAAUCAAAGACCUUCACGGUAGAAAAAUCAGAACCCAACACACUCAGGGGUUAAACUUCCAUAAACAGACUAAAAAGAUCACUGAUCACCAACAUUGAUCAGUUCAUACUCAACAAGAGACAGAUUGUUAUCCUCCUUGACUGUGAAAGACGCCGGUUCAGUGACUUCGAUGCGCCCCCAUUUAUCCACUCCUAGCCUCAUUGUACCCUUGAACAUGUCUAUCCUUGAAUUGCGCAGAAUCACCGUUGCCCCUGGCUUCAUAAGAUCAACUAUACACAAAGAAAAGAAUCAGUAGUUCAGUACCAUAAUCAAUGUAAUCAGUAGGCCAGAGUAAUUAUACAAUAACUGGUACAACACUAGCUAUUCUACAGGAAAAGCUAUGAAAGUUUUGGGAGAUAAUGUAGAGCAUUCAACUGAACAUAACUCAACAUAUGACCAAGCAAGUUUCACCUUUACUAAAGGCAAGGUCAAAUUUAAGCUAAGACGUCUUUCAAUUGCAUAAGCUACACAGACAUCACUAAAUGAUACCAGGCUUGAACAGAUUUUCACAGUAAUACCAUACAUUCAUUUCCAUUUUCAGUCACAAUGAUAGCUUUUCACACUCUUUCCAGAAAUUGACAUAAAUAAAUUCCCAUUUUCAGAUACAAGAAUAGCUGAUGCAGAAUAGCUGAUGCAUCAUCCAUCAUAAAGACUAGCAGAACACAUUUUACCAUUUGCUCAAAAAUAUAUAAAAAAUGAAAACAAAUACUGACGAAGACAAACCAGUAAACAACAAAGGAUCAAACUAUAUCUCUCCAACAAACUAUAAUAUGCCAUAUCUAUAUCCUAAGAGCAAAAGAAAAGAGUGAGUAACCUUGGUCGUUACGAGCAGUGAAGAGGAUACAUCCAGUUUCGUCUCCGAUGAGACACUCAACGAUUCGACUGGGCUGAGACGGCCUACUCAGAGAAUUCGCAGUACGAGGCUUACGGGUAACAGGAACCACGGUACUAGCAUCAAUGACCUUAACAGUCAACGUGUGACCAGUCGUUCCAGGCUUUAGCUGUUCCACCUUCACAAACACUGGCUUUCUCUUCACCGUCGACGUUCCCGUCGCAACUGCUGCAUUUCCUGUAGUCGCCAUCGCUCAGAUUACAAAACCCAGAUUUCGCGUUCGCCCUAAUUGCUGGAAUCGAAAGAAAAAAAAAACCUUUUGGGAGAGACCAAAAUGGGAUUUUAGGGUUUAUAAAGAAAGACGACGAUGUGCUCUGCUCACUCCCGAGACUGACGAGAGUUUUAAUCACCUGCUUCUCGGUAUCAUGAACUUUGUCACGUGUCGAUUUCUUAUUUGAUAUUUUUCAUAUGGAUUAAAGCUAUUAAUUUAUCCUUUAUUAGACAUUAAUGUAACAAAAGUCAUACAGCUAAUUUGAAAACGUGAAGAGACACUAAUCUAAAGCUUUCUUUGGUGCUUCAGUUUCUGCAACAACCACCACCAUCGCUUGCUCUUCUUCUUCUGUUGGCCGCGGCGGUGAAGGUGACUUUUCCUCCGGCGAUUUUAGUUGCUCAUGAUGAGUUACUUCUUGAUGCUUCUCCACUUCAAUGGUAUCUAACUGGAGAUUCUGCCGUCUGUAUCUGAUUACAACCACUAUGAUAAACACUGCUAUGAAACGGGUCUUGAGACUGGUUAGGUUCCAGAAUGCAGUAACUGCAGAGCCUGCCACAAACUUCUUGUGUGUGCAAAUUCCCCAAGCUUCAACUAUUCUCUUUUGUGCACUUUCAACUACACAAAGCAAAGAUCCGUUUUUGUCAUUGGAUUGGACACACCAAAGAGCAGUUUACAGUCUGUUCAAAUGGAUUUUACCUUGACGAUUAAUCUGACUAGCAUAACAUGAAUAUAGCUUUGGAACUGUGAAGCUUAGGAAGAAACCUGUUUAUCCAACUAUGGUCAGUUCUAGUAUAUUCAACUACAAGAAUACCAAUUAGAUUUCGUUGGAGUAUUGUUGACAUUGAGAUUUAGUGUUCCAGUAAUCAUACCAAAAGCACAUAACCUCCACAAUGUUAUGAGGUAACCAUACUCAGCUCCCAUUAGAACAAAAGGUGCCACCUGAAAUCAAAGUAAAAACCGAAUAAGAAGACUAGACAUAUUCAUUAGAGAAUAUUUUUUAUGAGAAUGGUGAAACUUUGUAAAUCCUACCUUGAGUGUCAUUGCAGGUUCGCCAGAGAAAAGCUCGCUCGUCUUUGAAAUCGCUAAAUUGGUGAUGGGAAGCAUUCGUCUUGCUAUUCGUAAGACAUCCUCUUCACUCAACUUGAGCUCUCUCCGCGCUUCUUCGGUUGCCCUUGAAGGUAACAAAUGGAUUUAAAAACUUUAGUACAAGCUAAUUUUUGAUAUGUACCGGGAUCUUAAGAGUUUGUACCUUUGGCGAAGAGUGUUUGACAGGAACGAUACCCCAAGAAACAAGAGUCCAAGAUAGGAGAUCGCUGAAAAAACACUUCAAACCAACAAAAUUUCCUUGAAUGUGACAAAUAAUUGAAGCUAGAAAGAUAAAUCAUGAUAAUAUAAAUCAAUGUACCUAAAGUUAAAUCCUUUAGCAGCAAAGCAAGAAGACAUGAAACAUAUACAUCCGAAACCGAACCAGAGUGUUGAUUUUGCAACAUCGCUCCACAUGAUCAAAUCGCUUAUAUUCUCUCUAAUCCGCUCCAAAUCACCUUGGCUAACAUCUUUAUCUGAAUUACGAAGCCAUAACACAACUACUGAGCAAAGCAUUCAUAGUAGAACAAGAGAGUGAACUCAUUUUGCAAAAUAAAAGGACCUACUUAUUAGAUUUGAAGAUUGGCAUGGAGAAGGUAUCACAGGAACAGAAUUUUGCUUCUCCUUCUUAGAUCGACCCGUCUUCUUAUGUUUUCUCGGUGUCUGAGUUUUCUCAUCAAUCAAGCCAACAAUAGGUUCCUUAUUAUCUUCCUUCGUUUCAACCAUCACCCCCGACCUUCGUCUCGAUCUCCGGCAAUUCCUCGGCGAGGCACAACCCGAAAGACCAUUUUGCCCUCCCUUAGUCCUACAUCGCCGUGCCACCGCAGCAGCCUCCGUAGCUUCCAUAUCAAAACGAUUGCUCAAACGGGUUCUCGAUUUACGGAGAGGAGAAGGAGAUAAGAGGAGGAUUUCGCGAAGAGUGACAGGAGAAGAUGGUGAAUUGAGGGAAAUAGGUGAUGGGUAAGGAGUACCGUUGCUCUUCGGAGACGAGACAACCAAAUCGAGAGAUGGAAUAUGCGAUUUGACGAGAGUGUUGUUGUUUCGAGCGAGACGCGAUGCGGAUCUAGGGUUCGAACGGAGGGAAGGAGGUAUAGUGUCCAUUAUCUGAAAAAAGGGAUGAUUUUUCGAAUCUGAGUGAUUAAAUGAGAGGAAUCUCUGGGAAUUUAUUAGGGUUCUUGAAGAUAAGAUUUGGGGAUUCUUGCUCCGACAAGCUAAGCUUCUUUUUUUGGGGUCUGUUGAAAGUUCUCAGCUUUUGUUUCCGGCAACAGUGGAUGAGAGAGCCGUUGAUGAGGAAGAAGAAAGAAAAAGACAAUCUUUAGCUUAUUUGAAAGUUAACGGCGGCAAAGUGGGUCCGUUAACGUCUCUUUUAACGGUAAUUGUAACUUUAAUCAUUGGAUCUUUUGAUUCUUUUCUACUUGAAUCAGAUAUAAACAAGAUACUAGUUUUGUAAUUAAAAUGCUAUGAUUAAGCAAAACCCUCUUUGGGAUUGUUUAUAAUUAUACAGCACAAAAAUCACAGCUUUAAUUUGGUUUGUUGUGUAUAGUCUCUGUAGAUGAUGAGUAGUUUACAUUUUGCCAUUGUCGCUGCUUAGCUUCAAAGCUGCAAAAGAAAACUCUGUUUUCUUGAGAUGGCGUUUGUAGAAGCCAUUGAGCCUCUCAAGCGCAUCUUCCAGCAUCUGAGCUUCUACUCCGAUUGUUAUCCUCACCCAGUUCUCCAUUCCCAAAGCCACUCCUGCAACACCAAAGAAAUGUUUCAAUAUCUUCAAACUUUGAAACAAAUCAUUUUCAAGAUUCACGUUUAUGUACUCAUUGAUUGUGAUUACCUGGUAGUAAGACGAGGUUUUCUUCUUUGGCUAGCUUCAUACAGAAAUCCAUGUCGUCUUCGAUGUCCUCCAAUAAUGAGAGCUCUAGCUUCGUCUGCAGUUUAAUCAUGGCAUUUGUUAUACAAAUCGAUCAAGAAUCAUGAAAUGAGUAUUACUGACGUUGGUGGUGGUACCAGUAAGUAAGUGCAUGAGUCAGGUUUCUUUUUGCAGACCAAGCAAGGAAUGUCCUUGAGCCUAUCACAGACCAAUUCCAAGUUCUGUUUCAACAUUGAAUUCUUCUUAGCAAACGUCUCUUUAUUUGCUUUCCCUAGAAUCUCGGGAAGUGCAGCCUGAACUAUGGUUGUAGCAUCUGGAACUAUAUCAAGAUUUUGUUGGAUGGACUGUAUCAUCUGUUACAAGAAGAAGAAAAAACAGAGUGAUUACUUGAAACAGAAGCUAUAAUAAUCCUAUCUAUAAUGAUAAAUCGGUUCAGAAAAUCAGACCCCUGUGGACUUGAAAAUGCCUUUGGGAUCGUUCAUAGCGAUCCAGCCGAUUCUCCAACCAGGAACAACCCAUCCUUUCGAUAUACCACCCAAAGUGAUAAUCGGAGCUAUCGAUGAAAACGUUCCCAUUGGAACAAAUUGUUUGUCUCCGAAGAUUGUUUCGCAAUACACUUCGUCUGUGAUCACCAUUAUUCCUAGCUUCCGAGCUGUCUCUGCCACCUAUAAAAGUUUCAUUCAUCAGCACCAUUUUUCCAAGUCUCUCACAAGUCAAAAACUAGUUGUAAUUACCUUCUUAAGAUGAUCGUAAGAGUAAACAUUUCCACAGGGGUUGUUAGGGUUUAUGACAACCAUUGCCACAGUGUUCUCGUCUGAAAUUGCUUCGAUGCCUGGGAUAUCAAUCUCCCAUUCUUUCUCCGGGAGAAGAUCGAACUUGCGGACCUCGAGUCCACUAAAGAGGGCACGAGCCUCAUAGUGAGGGAAACUAGGCCGUGGGAGAAGGAUGUUAGCAUUUGGUCGAGCCAGCGAUUGAAGCACUACUUCUAUCCCUUGGUUGCAUCCGACAGUUAUGAGUACAUCAUUAGCCUUUACCUUGUUUGUCAAGUCUCGGUUUACGUAAUCAGCAACCGCCCUGAGUAACAAAACGUUCCAUGAAAAAUACUUAGGUUUUGCCGUGGGUGAAACAGAGUAGACCGCUCUAUCUUAUGAAAAGGGAGAAAGAAGCUUACUGUCUAGCGGGGAGAAUUCCGGCGGCGGGGCCGUAAGAGUUACCCUUACCGGAGCGGAUGACGUCGACAAUGGCGUCCUCGGCGUGGAUGGAGGUGCGGUAGCAAGGGUACACAGAAGGGUCGCCGUGUGCAAGGGGUAAAAGAACCUUUCCAACGUCCGGGCUGCAUUCAGCGAAGAGCUUGAAGCAUAUGACUCUCAUGGUGACGCUGGAGGCUUUCGUUGCGUUGUCGCUUCCCCUGAAACGCCAAACGCUGAUAUCGUUCUCAUCUUGCGUCUGCGUCUCGGUUUGAAGGGUAGGAAGUAGGAGGUAGCUGUUUCGGUCCAUUGGUUAAUAAAUGAGCUGGAAGAGUAUUAUGUAGAUUUUUGAAAUGUGGUCGUCGUUAUAUGAUUGAUAUAUAUGAUGGAGAUGCCAAGAAACGUAUUUAUAGAGGAGGACGAAGGAUUAAAUAAUAAUCGGAAACUCGUUAGUGUUAAAAUAAUAAUAACGAUUAAGUGUAGACUUUGACUAAAGGAAACUGCGGUAGCAGACUUUACGUACCUUUGAACUUUUCACCCAUAAAAAAGAAAAAAACCUUUGAACUUGAAUUAUAGACUUUGAACGAAGGGUUAUAUUAUAUACAUUUACAUAGUUGACCAUUUUAUUAAAUUUUUAAUUUGAUGAUUUUGGAUUAAGUAAUAAAAAGAAAAUGUGUUUCUACCACAAUGAUUUUUCAUUAUUGAAGAUGCUAUUGAUUAGAAACAAUUUUCAUAUAUAACAAUUUCGAUGAUAUAAAAUAUUUAUAUUAGCGUGGUAAGAUAUAAUGUAUACCACACGACAUUAAUAUUAGAUUAAUAAAAAUUAAAUAUAUUAUAUAAUAUACAUAUCAACGUGUAAUUACAUCUUUAAUUGAGCUAUCAAAAUCUUGAAAAAAAUGUUUUAUAAAAUCAAGAUCAGUCAGUGAAACUGAAAAAUGUGGUGUAGUUAGGCAUGUCAAUCGGGCUAGCCCGCCCCGGCCCGGCCCGGCCCGAAACCAGUAAAGCCCUCAUAUAUGUGAGUCUGGUCCGGUCCGGUCCGAAAAAUUUCCGAGCCUAUAUUUUAAAGUCCGGCCCGGCCCUAACAGGGCUACAGGGGUUUUCGGGAUUUUUGGGCUUUAUUUACCGAUAAAAAAUCAAUUUCUAAGUUCAUAAUAGUUUUUUAAAAACUAUAUUUAAAGGUCUACUAUAAAAAUAAUGCAUCAAAUUUUAAAUAACUUAUCAAUAUUCAAUAAAACUAACUUAAUUUAAGAGAAAAAAUAGAAGCCAAAUAAAUUAUUUACACUUUAACCCAAUAAAACAUAGAACUAAAAUACUUUAAAGUAUAAGAUAGAGUAAAAAUUUAAUAGAUAUUUUGAUGAUUUCAAAAUCAUGAUACUUAUAUAUAUUUAGUUUUAGCUUUGUAUAAAGAUUUUAAAAGUAAUAAGUAAGACUAGUAAGUAAAUAUGAAAACUAUAACAUUAAUCAAAUCUUUUAAUCAAACUAAAAUAUUCAAAAAAUUCAAAAUAUAUUUGUAUAAGGGCUUUUCGGGCUGGCCCGAGCCCGACUGGAGUAAGCCCAAAAACUCUUUAACCCGAAUGGGCUUAGCCCAAAAGGCCCAAUUUUUUCUGGACAUAUAUAUUUAAUCCCGAUCCCGAUAUUUUUUAGGGUCGAGCCAAACUAGCUCGCGGGCUUUAGCCCUAAUUGACAUGCCUAGGUGUAGUGAUCUAUUAACACACUGUUACAUUUAUUUAGCCACUCUGUUUAUAAGUCAGAAUAUCGACUGAAGCUAAAUUCAUAUAUUAUGUAUUAUACAUAUAAUUAUCGUGAUCCAAUACUUGAUUAAUGUGCUAAUUUAUAUGUUACCUAAUAAAUAUGGAAAAUUUAUAUAAAUAAUAAUUUAUCAGAUAUGUUAAAUCUUACACCUUAUAAUUAUGGCUAACAAUAUAAUAUUACUAUAAACAAUAAGUAAUGGAUACGUUUAAUUGCUAACAUCAUGUCUUCGACUUGGUCUUCCUGGAAAUAAAACUUCCACUCUGUUUUAACUCCGUCACGUUAUGUUCAUCUUGAUGAAUACUUGGUCAAGAGUCAAAUACUUCGCCGAAACCGAAACUGCAUGGCUAUAUAUUUUGCUAUAUCUUAAUUUCCCAAUCGUCUGUUGUUGUAUUUUGCUAUUUUUUUUUUUUUUUUUUUUUUUUUUUUUUUUUGCUAUUACCCUUGAAUGAUUAGCUUUACAUGACGUGCGUGACCAAUAUAAUAAAAAAAAUGUUUUAUUAACGUGAAAUUGCCGUCGUUCGAAAUAAAAACAGAAUUUUGGAAGAAGACGACUUAUGAAACGUGAGAAUAUUAAUUUGGUGUAUUUACAAAUGACCGUUUUCUUAAAUUACUUGAUUAAGUAUUGCACUAAUCUUUCCAUUCCUGUAUAAGCUGCAACAUCAUAUUAUAUUAAAGAUGAAUAAUAUUAUUACUUUGAAAUAGACAUAAUAUUUACGAAAAGCAUCAUAAAGGUUGAUGAAUAAUUUUUUUUUUCUAAAAACUUUUAGGGUAAAUAUAAAACUGAAACUUAGAUAUCUUUUUCUGAAAUUGACUGUGAAUUUGUAUUUUAAAUAUAUAUUUUAUACUCACAUAUUCUAUAUCACCAACCCCAAAUCCAAUAUUUUAAAAUUUAUUAUACUCCAUUGCGGCUUGCGCCACCAUCUUUUUUUCUUCUUUACUUUAAGAAAAAGCUUGCGCCAUCAUUUUUCUGUUUCUUUGAUACUCCGCCUAAAACGACGUCCCGACUUCCAACGUAUCAGCUUUCACACGCUGACACGAACACAGUUAACCUUAAAGAUUCAAACACAAUCAAAAGGAAAACGAAACAUGAGAAAUACAAAAUACAUAUAUAGUGUUAUUGAUGCUGAGUUCUCUUUUAAGUGAGUUGUGUUUUAACAUGGCGAGCGUAGAAGCCUUUGAGCCUCACGAAAGCGUCUUCUAGCAUCGACCUCUCCACUCCUAUCGAGAAUCUCACCCAAUUCUUUAGUCCUAAUACCUCCCCUGCAUUAUGUUCAUAAUCAAAUCAGCCCAUAUGUCCCUUACAUUUUAUAGAAAUAUUGAUUACAGUGUAAAUAAUAUUGAUUACCAGGUAGAAGGACGAGAUUCUGCUCUCGGGCUAGCUUCAUGCAGAAAUCAAAAUCAUCCGUGAUGUCUUCUAAGAGGGAUAUAUCCAAUUUUGUCUGCAAUAUAUAUGAUCUACGUUAGGUUUAAUGAAAAUUCUCUUAUAUAUGUGAUUUUUGUUGUAGGGUCUUAUUACUGAUGUUAGUUUCAUUUGUUAACACAUGGAUAUGUAACAUAAUAGUUUAACAUAAAAGUUUAUACAAACGCUAUCAUAUAUCUCUAGGCGUGCAUAUAGAUUAUAGCCGAAACAAAGAGAAGGUUUAUUUGUUAGUUUGCGUUUAUAUCUAAAAGUGUGUAAAUUAAAGAUAGGUUGAAAUUGGUACCACUAAGUAAGUACACGACUCGGGUUUCUUGGGGCAGGUGAGGCAAGGAAUGUCCUUGAGAGCAUCGAACGCCAAAUCUACGUUUUGACUCAGGAUUAAGUUACUUUUGUCGAAGAAAUCUUUCUUUGUCUUCUCCAAGAUGUUUGGAAGUGCAAACUUCAAAUUAAACAUGGCAACACAUUAGCUCUAUUGCAUAUAUACACCACGUAAGUCAUUGCAUCUUUGUGCAUGCAUGUGUCACUGAACAUUACGUAUCAUAUAAGCCAAACCUGUAGAAUUGUUGAUGGAUCUGGACUUAUGUCGAGAUGUUCCUUGAUGGAUUCAACGACCUAUUGACAACAAAGUAUUGUUUGUGUUAGAACAGGAAUAUAGAACAUAUAUUUCUAUCCUAACAGUUUGAUGUUCAAAGAUACUCAGGUCUACAAAGUGUUUUCCCAUGUCCAAUAUAAUAGGACGAUGUUUACUACAAAUAACUUGUGAUGGUUAAGAGAUAAAACUGACCCCGGUAGUUUUGAAAACGUUGUCAGGAUCAUUCAUUGCGAUCCAGCCAAUUCGCCAGCCGGGAACGAACCAUCCCUUGGAUAUGGACCCGAGUGUAACCACAGGGGCAAUAGAUGAAAAUAUACCCAUGGGGACAAAUUUAUUCUCACCAUAAAUAGUUUUGUUAUAAACUUCAUCAGAAAUGACCAUUAUUCCUAGCUUUCUCGCCAUCUCAGCCACCUACAUGUCAUAAUAAAAUGUACAUAACAAAAGUUUUGUUGAAAGAUAGUUUCCUAAAUCCUAAGUUAGUAUAGCGUCAUUCACGUACCUUCUUUAGAUGUUCAUAUGUGUAGACAUUUCCACAUGGGUUGUGAGGAUUAAUUAUCACCAGGGCAAUGGUGUUUUCAUCUGCGAUGGCCUCGACGCCUUGAAGAUCUAUCUCCCAGUCUAGAUCGGGAAGGAGAUUAUACUUGCGAAUCUCGACUAGGCUAUGGAUUGCGUGACUGUGGUAUAGGGGAUAAAUUAGAGUUGGGAGAACGAUAUUGGCCUUGGGUCGGGCGAGGGCAUGGAUCAUUGUCUCUAUCCCUUGGCAACACCCCACCGUUAUAAAUAUGUCAUCUGAUUUCAUCUUAUGAGGAAGGUCCCGGUUCAGAUAAUUUGCAACCGCCCUAAAUUAAUAUGAGCAUAGUUUCACAUGUUACAGUGAAUAUAAUAGAAUUAUUGUAAUAAAAUUUGGAAAAUUAAUCUAGCACUGGAUAUACAAGCACAUGCAAACACAAGGCAUAAGUUGUGUUAUAACUUAUAAGUACAUAAUCACCUAAACAUAUAGAAAUUCGUUAAACUUUUUCAUCAUAUACAGUUCAGUAUAUUGAUACCUUUACAAUAUAUAUUUAAUGUGGAAACAAAUAGCUAGAAACUAAUUACCUCCUGGCCGGUAAAAUACCGACCCCCGGGGCGUAAGAGUUGGCGGCGCCAGACCGUAAGGAUUCAACCACCGCGUCCUCAGCAUCAACGGAAGUUUGAAAGCAACGGUAGACGGAAGGGUCGCCGUGACCCAGAGGCAAAAUGGUCUUGUUAACGUCUUUGCUGCAGCAGUCGAAUAACCUAGUAAGGGUACCUUUCAUUGAGACAUUAGCCGCUCCCUUGGCCGCUUUGUUGCCUUUGAACUUCCAGACGUCACCACCGAUGCCGCCUCCGUUUCCGGUCGUCUUGCGUUCAACGUCUUCCUCUUCUUGAUCAGUUUUAAAUGAAGGAACGAACAGGUUCUUGUGUUGACUCAUCGUUCCGAUUGAACUUCUUUCUCUUGGUUUGAAAAUUUUUCUUUUGUGAAAGAAGAGUCAUAUGAUAUUACAUAGAUGCAUUGUGUUCCAAACUAAAAAAAAAGAUGAAAGAUAGAUUAGUUUAUCAUUUUCAUAUAUAUGCACAAAGCUUAUUGGUAUAUAUAUAUCUCGAUCUCUUCUGACUCUUCAUUAUAUUCAAUUUUGAAAUGGGUACGUAUUUCUGACAAACAAAAAAAUGGGUACGUACUUAUCUCUUCAUGACAUUCAAUAUGAAAUGGGCAAUCUCAUUCAUAUAGCUCCUGUUUUAGGUAUGGUCUCUUUUUCUGAAAAGAAAUUACCACUGCCGACGAAAGGAUCUUUUGAUUUACAAAAAAAAAGAACGAUAAACACGUGAAAUGAAAUGUAUAUUUUAGUACUAGUGGUGAGAGAUAGAAGAAUGGCUACUGAUGUUUUUUUCUUUUUCGAUUUUGGGUUACAUGAGAGAUCAGAGCAUCUUGAUACAUUGUUUUUUUUUUUUUGGCAAUCGCAUUUUGAUACAUUGUUUUACAGAACGAAAUGUAGUUUUUGUCAGAAAAAAUUGGAACUAUUUAAGAGAUUCGAAAAUGUUUCUGAUGUCCACGAGAAAAAACAACUGGAUCCCCCCAGUGGUCGGUCCAUUUCAAGUUACGAGGUACAUUGAUGUUCUCACUAUUCUAACGUAUUCUUUUUCUGUAUAAUUGAUUGAUAUUAUCCUGAGUACUUUCAUGAUCUGUAAUUUUUAGUCUUUUCAUGUGUUUACAUAAGAAUUUAAGCUUGUUUUUUAUUAAAAAAACAACCUAAAACUUCGUUGAAUGAUUUUUUUUUUUUUUUUUUGUCGGCCAAAGGUUUCAUUAAGAAAAGCCCAACAGGCUAAUAAAGAAGGGAUACAGUUACAUGAUUAAAACGAAAAUCAACAGCCCAACUAAAUCAUAAUUGCCCUCGAAGUAAUAAGGUCCGGUAGAUAGAUAAAACAAGCAAUAAUGAUUCAGAGGUACACGUGUAGAAGCUAGAUCCUUCACGUAGCCACGCGUCUUAUCAUCUUAGAACCACCGUUAACUUUCGUCAAGCGUCGCCAAGUUCCGAUCGUCUGUCUUGAAUUAACUGUGGUGCGACAAGUAAACUUUUUCCCUUCUGUCGAUCUCUAUUCCGUUCAUAGAAUCGUCAAAAACCACCGGAUCUUACAUGAAAAACUUCUUCAAAUCUCUCUAAGAAUCACCAACUCCCGGGAAGCUCCAUCACCAACUACACACAAUUUACCGAUGUAGUUUUUUGAUUGCUCUAAAGUCAUGAGCAAAGGAAAGUGAUGAAGAUAUUACUCCUCGAUUAACUGGAGAAUCAAAGAGAAAUAAGAGUAAAAACGGUAAAUCGACGAGAUUAAAACAAAUGGAAUGAGAUCAAAAUAGCUCGCAAGAUGCGAGAAAGCACAUCCGGACUUAAACCGGAACAAAAGAUCCGAUUUACAAUCGGAAGGAGGACCGACAAAGCUAAUAUUUUACAAACAAAAAAAUCCGGUAAAACGGAAAUCUUCCUUUCUCUCUCUGAAAGAUGAAGAGUGUGCUAAGAGAGAGAAAGUUUUUUUUGCUCAUCACCCUUCGUUGAAUGAUUUAAACGUAAACUUCGGUUAAACAGUAUUGGGAAAACCAAAUUUCGUUUUCUCUUGUAAACGGCUGUUUAAUUAGAACGACACAAUUAUUCAAAAACUUUUAGUUUUGAACCACCCCCCCCCCCCCCCCCCCCCCCCCAACAAUUACUCAAGUUUGUGAAAUGUUUUUAUGCAUAUCAAAAACUCACAAAUAUGUAAGAAAGUUCAGAUUUAUUUCUAUAUUAAUUUUUAUUUUCAUUUAUAAUUCAGAAACUUCACACACAUACACUAGCAUGUUUAAAAACUGAAUUUAACUUUAGUCAUCCGACCCUCAUCUCACAAAUUGAUCAAGUCCCUAAUUCCUUAUUUACGUUGUUGUAUUUACAUCACUCUAUGACUCACUUUCUCUAUUCAUCAAUUUAAAUUGGCUAAAAGAAAAUUAGUUACAAAAGGUUAGGUCGCACGCGGCUUAACCAACCGGCCCAAUGGGUCGAUUUGAUUAAAUACGAGAAACGCUUUAAUCACCCGUUUGGUCCCUUCUUUAAAUAGCUCUCGCACGCUACCGAAGAAGAGCAUUAAAACUCUCGCAUGCGUUACCAAGUUGAAUUUUCUGUUAAAAGUAUUUAAGAUUGCUCGUCACGAUUACGUUUGUUAGGUAGAUAUAACAUAACGAAGACCAACUCACACAAACAAAAAAAACAGUGCAUUGGCUGCUAGUAUGAUGAUGAAACUAGUGUUUGCGAUGACGUGUCUUCUUGUUGCAGUCACAGCCGCCGAUGCACUGUACCGUCCUUGGCCUCCGGAGUGUCUUUACGUGGCGAACGUGAUUACGGAGCAGUGUAAAAUGUUCUUCGUCCAUCAGGAAUCUCCUCCCACCGCCGAGUGCUGCCAUUGGUUCAGUAGCCGCCGUAAUAAUGUCAAGGAGAGGCGAAGGAUUUGCCGUUGUAUGGAGUUUCUGACAACAGCCAUCAAACCACUCAGGCCAGACGCUUUGGCUCUCUCUGACCAGUGCCAUUUCACCUCUGGCUUCCCCAUGUCUAAAGACCACACAUGCGCUUGUAAGUUUCAAUAAAGUAUAUGUAAGUGCCAUUGCAAGUAUUUUGUAGAAAAAGGCUGACGGUAUAAUUUGUCUAUUGGUUCUCUGUUUUUGCAGAGCAUGGGGGAGACUCAAAGAAGACACGAUUUGCAGAUGAAUAGUAUCUCUUGUUUUUGUAUUUAAAGGCUGUCGCGAUUUCUUAUUUUUCAUUCAUUUGUGAAGAAAAUCAUGCUUACAUAAUAUAUUACAUCUUCUGGGAAACCACAUUACUGGGUUUUUUUUUUUAUAGACACAGCUUGAGCAUAUAUAUCUCUAUCUUAUGAACUUGACGGUAAUUUAUAGACAACUAAAAAAAAAAACACUUUGAAAGAGACUAGUGCAACUUUACAACGAUACAGGAGAUGUCAUCUUUGCUCUUCUUAGAUAUGGCUUCCUCUAUCAAAUGCUUUGCGGCUGCAUGCGGGUCUUUGAUACUCUUGAUCGCAUCAACUGCUUCUUGGUUCGAUAAUACCUGCAGUUCAACAUCGACCAUCAUCUUAGAACAAGUCCAUAAACUGGCUAGCUAAUCCACGGAUAGAACCAGGGCAAGAUACCGAGUCGUUAGACUUACCUUCCAAAUACCAUCACUGGCAAAAAGGAUGAAUUCAGUGUGAUCAUCAAUUGCCUGGUGUGUUAUGUCUGGUUCUGAGCUCAGAUGUAUCUUCAAGCUCUUAUCUCCAAACGCUCUCGCAACCGCUAACUGUCCAUCCACUCGUGGAACAUCCCCUGCAACGUUAAAUAUAUAUCAGCAUCUGCUAUUCCAAAGAAACUGAAGGCGUAACUAGUCACAACAAAUUAAGGUAGCUUUACCUGGAAUAUUUGAUACAAAGCCACCUCGUUUCUCUAUUUCUUUUUUCUCCUUGCUUGGUUCAUGAUCGACUGAGAGCUGAUGCGCAACACCAUUCUUAGACAUCACUGCUCUUGAAUCUCCAACAUUAGCAACAACUAGCUUUUGACCAUCAAUUAGAAUUCCCGUUACAGCCGUUGAUCCGCCUUUACCAAGCUUAAGGGAUUGCUGCAAUAUCACGGCAUCUGUCGAUCUGUAUGCAUUCCUUAUAGCAUUCUCCGUGUCAGUCCAAAAAUCCUUCUGAAAAUACACAAAUGGAUCAGUCAGAAUCAUUCACAAAGAAUUCGCCUUUUAGCCUCCAAAGAGAUUUGUUAACCAAAUUAAAGAUCUACCUCUUUUAGAAUGUUGUCAAAGAGAUUAGUUUGCAAGUAUUUGGCCACAUCAUGCCCCAAGUGACCAUCAAAGAUGGCAAACAAACCCAAUUCAUGACCUUCAAGUUUCUUGAAUUCGGAGACUACAUAAUCCUCCAUAGGAUGGCUAGACUUGCCUUUCACACAGUGAAAACCAUGUGUGAUGUUCUUCCACAUCUUGCUUUUGCCUCUUCCCAUAUCAGGAGCGGAUCCACAGAACCCAGCCUUUAACUAAUAUUUCACACAGCAAAACAAUAGAGUUAAUACUGCAAUCACUCAAAAGACUCAAAAACACUGUCUAUCUAUAGAUUCUUCAAACCAAAUUCUCUGAGUCAUCAAGCCCAUUAAAAAACCAUAAGCACAACAGAAUCUUUUCCCAGAUUACAAAGCCACCUAAUCAAGUUUGAGUUUUUAUCAAUAAAACUAACAGGUGUGACCAAUUUCGGCAGAUUCAGUUAUACCCAUGAGCAGGAAACGCCAAAGAUCAUAAAUUUCUAAAGGGUCAAGCUCGAAGCUGCAUUCAUUAAUCUUACUAACUCACUCACUUCAACCUUUGUUUGAUUCCCCCAAAAAAGUUUCAAACUUUGCUAAUAGAGAAAUAGCCAGCAACAGAUAAACUGAUUCUCCAAUUCAAAGCAGAGAUUCAAUGAACUAAAAACGAGAUCAGAUCAAUCAGAGUAAUACCACAAACAAAGAAGAAUCAAGAGCCAGUAAUAGCGUACCUUCAUCUUAUGGAGAAUAUUACUGCCAGCCAUUUCUGAGAAAGCCUUGAGACGAUUCCUUUGUAUCUGUGUGUUUGUGUGGGAUAUGUGAUGAAUGAAUGAUGCAAACACGAAUGGAGAUAGAGAGAAAGAAGGAAGAAGAUUCGGGUUUUAUGAAUGAUUUUGACUUUGAUGUAAAGGAAAUAUGAACUGCUCGGUGACUGUUAACAUUAUUAUCCCGGCUGCGUCCUCCAAUGCGGACGCGUUCUCUCCCACGACUUUUCUUCUUCCCUUUUUGUUCAGCUUAUCUUAUUUUAUCAUUUAAUUAAAGUUUUUAUUGCACACCCACUUGGAAAUUACAUAUAUGUAUUGCGUUACUUUUCUUUUCUUUUUAAUAUAGCAAUAAAGUUUUUCUGAUUGGUAUAUAGUAUUUGUUUAAGACAUCUAAAUUAUCAAAAUAAAAGUAAGAUUUAUAAUUUUGGGUUUGUAUUUUAUUUGCAUAACACAAUUAUUCUUUCUUUUUUUUUUUUUUAAUUUUUCUAGAUAUGGUGUUCUACAUAAUUCCCCCUAAAAAUAAACAAAAAGAAAAAACUCUAGACUUCUGUUGAAAAAUCGUGUACAACAAUAUUCCCAACUGUCCUUAUUAGUUAAACUCUUUGUUUAGUGAAGAUGUCUUUUUUCCUUUUAUUUUGUUGCGAUGAUGCAUAACAUUUUUGUUCCUGUUAAUUAAUGUAUCAAGUACUACUAGUGUACUACAUAACGUCUUUGGAUAUUUCUGUUUUCAUUUUCUUAUUCUCCAAAAAUUGUUGUCGGCUCAUUCAGUAGAUUCACUUUCAGAGACUCUUCUUCUUAGCUCCUUCCAGGUCGUCGUCGUCGUCGUCCUUCGGAAUAAGCCAUCCAAAAUAUUUCCACAUCUUACAUUGGUUUUUCACGUCAAGCAAAUAAUAAUAUAAUCAUGUGUUAAAAAUAAAUAAAAAACUUAAUGUAUAUGACGGAAUUAUCACAUCACAUACCAAUAUAGUUUCAUUGUGGCUGAAACUCAGAUGGGUCAUUAUUAUUUCAAAAGGUCAAUUAUUAUCCCAAAAAUCUUUAUUCAAAUUUUAUCAUGAAGAGGGUAAAGAUCUUGCUAAAAAUCACACACAUAGAUAAACAAGGGGUCAAAGAGUUGUUGAUUUGUCUAAAUCAACGAUUUCGUGAUUGAUAUGAUCACACGCACAUAGGAAUCAAAGAGUUAGUGAUUGGUUUAGUCAUCCAUUAUUGAUUUGUUAGAAAUUUUUUUUUUAAUAUGUUUUUAACAUUUGUUUUAGUUAGUAGUACAUCGGAGAAGCUUUUACCUAUUGUUCUUAUCUUCGAGUCAAGCCUUUGUCAAUUUGGACGACUUAUGGACCAACUUGCUUCUAUAAAUUAAAGAGUAGUAAAUUUGGAUAUGAUGAAAACGUUCGAGAGAGAGUUGGUGGUAGGUAAAAUAUUUAAGCCGUCAUUAGGAAAUGAUUAAAUGGAAGACAAAAACUAUUUUAUCAUUAAAUAUGGAAAUCAUAACAGCUCCCACUGUUUUAUUUUUAGUUUAAAUAGUACUGAAUAAACUAAGUAAAUAAAACAUGGAUGACCAAAACUACUAUAACAAAAACUGUAAUAUCCACUAUCAGACAGAAACAUAGACAUUGGAACGAAGGGAGUGAAGAUAAUGAAAUAAUAAUUGAAGUAUUCUAGAGGCAGAGAUGAGAGAACAGAGGAGAAGAGAAAAGGAAAAAAGAUUGUUAGAUAAAAAUGGAAAUUACGAGGAACAACUACGAUUAGCUUUGAUUGAAAUAUAUAAACGAUAGAUCAUCAAAGUUCGACUACGAAUAAAAAUUUCGUUUAAGUCCAAAACGUUCCCAAGCAUGUGGGAUCAUUUUCUGAAAUAUAUAUAUCUUCUGUUAUUAGAUUUUGAUUAAGACAAUAUCUAUACAAAUUAGAAAACUAAGAUAGUGUAUAACCGAAAGUAUAACAAGAAAUACUACAAAACUAUAAGAUAUAACUGAUUUAAGAAGAAACUAUCAUAAUUCUUGAAAUGCAUCCCCAUAUCGAACAUUUACCUCAACACAUGUGAUUCAUCCUCUUCGGUUAUAUUUGAGUCAGGGUUUUGUGGGCAAGGUACACAUCUUAUUUUCCAAAUUACCUCUAAUUCAGGGCAAUCACACCGUGCCCUUAUCUCUCCCGUGCCCCUUUUCUUCUCCAGUCCUUGCAACUACAUAUAGUAACUUCUGUUAUCUCGCUGCUUAACAAAGAACCAAGAAAUUAGGAUGGGGAAAAAAAUGAAAAAGACGUAGAAUCAUUUACAGUAAUUGGAGACGUGAGCUUCAGGACGUUAUCCCAGCGGCUCACUCCUCUACAGUACUGUGGAGAGGGCUGCUUAGGUAUUACGUCAAUGAAGUUACUGAAUAUGUCCCUGCACUGCUCUUCUUCAUUCAUGGAAACCACGGACGUGAUUAGUGUCAUAAGCAAUAGAGCACGAUGCAUCUUAUGUUAUUUUUCUAAAGCUAAUAUUAGGACGAAUUAGGACGAGUACUAGCGAAGGUAAUUAGAUGAUCCGUGUAAUAUCAUCACAAAUCUCUAUAUAUAUUUAUUAGUUAAUUAGUUUAUAUGGUUAGUUCAAAGAAACAUGUAACUCUCGUGCUUCCUUCCGUAAGAAAUCAUGCCAUUUCUAUAGGUUAAUUUGUUAGACCUAACCAGUCUUUAUUUUUUUCGCCACUUUAUUUGUAUGCUUGAAAGGUAUCUAAAAGACUAAAACUGUGUUAGGUCUUAUAUUUUUAUGUUAUGACUUGGGAGUUAUGAUAGGAAUAUGUGAUUUUCUAACAUUGUUGUCUGAAUUGUAUCUUCUUCAAAUAUUGGAUGAUUUUGAUAUCAUGUAUAAAUAAUAUUUUAUUUUUUUCGUCAAUGUUUAAAGGGUAAUUCAUAUAGUAUUUGUAUUCAAAGCUGGACUCACUCGGGUAUUUGUAUUCAAUGCGACUAUCUCGGAUAAUUACUCAAUUUGUUCUCAUCCUCCUGAAAUAAAUCGCCAUGACCCAAAAACAACCUCGACGACUUUUACAUCAGAUUCAUAAUUCACAGUCCUAAUUGGUCUCCUUCUUACGUUCUCAAAGCUUUGGUAAGCUUUCGUGGACUCCCUCUCGACUCCACAGGUUCUAGAUAGGUUCUUCAAUCAGUGCUUCCCAUCCAUAUUUCGUUAUGAUAUGUAUAGUCCCACCCAUCCGUAUUUAGUUAUGAUCGUUCUUUUGGUUAAGGAAAGUGUACGUAUCAAUUAAAUGUCGCGAGAACAAUAAUUAAAUUUGGUCGUUAAAGCUUCAACUUAUGAUUUUGUUGCUUAAUGGGACAAUACUCACUUUUCCCAUAACAAUGGUUAUGGUAAAAAGUAAAAAUAAGAAAUAAAAGUCACCUGAUUAAAUGUAUAUAUCCAUAUAUAAUCGCCUAAAGGAAUUAAACUCUAUUUUACUUUUGUAACAGUAGCUAGUAGCUAGGCACUAUAUUACAAUAACCGCGAGUACAUAUAUCGUACUUAACCGAUAGCUGUUACAAGGCUUCUCUUUCCAAUAUUCAUACACGCACACACAUACAUAUAUAUCCUGGUAAUUAAUUUAAUCUUUCAGCGUCGAGUUUCUUGGUGUUUCCGAACCUGUAACCAAAAAAAAAAAAGAACAAGUUAAUAAGCUCUUUAAGCUUAGGGAAAAACGUAAUAAUGACAUGUUAGGUAGGAAAAGACUGAGAAUGGAAAUAACUGAGAACAGUCCAUAGCAACGGAGAUGGGAAAGCUGAGAGUAAGAGAACAACGGAGAGGAAGGUUGUUAAUGGCGCUUGGGAGAAAUGGAAGAUGAUUAGCAUUUCCCAUUAUCUCUACGCAUAUACACACUCUCUCUAGCUCUCCAUUCCCCUGUCUCGAUCCCUACGUAAUAUUUUACAAAGUACUUAAUUAAUAAUUAAUUAAUUAGUGGUGAAAUUAAGAAGAAACCAAAAUAAUCGAGAAAGAGAGUGAUAUAACUGGAGCCGUGAAUUUGACGACGUUGUUCAAGUGGCUCACGCCUCUGCAGCAUUCUGGAGAAGGUUGCUGGAAUAUUCCUUCGACGAAGCCCAUGCACGGCAUGAAACUCACGAAUACGUCCCUGCACAACGCCAUCGGAUCGUUGUCCUGUGACUGUGAUACAGCGGUCUUCAUCAGGACCAAGAACGCCACGACCAAUAUGGCAUGAUGUAUCUUCAUUGAUCUGUUUAACUGAGUAUCACUAGCGAACGUGGGAUAUUGAGAUGAUUAGUGUGCGAUCACACUAUAUCUGCAUAUAAAUAUAUAGCAAUCAAUUUGUUUCUUCGGAGUUUAUUACAUAUGGUUGGUUUAAUUAAUGAACUCAUGUACUUCUCAUGUUUCCUUUUUACUCGGAUUAAUUCCAGUUGAGUUCUCUUUCAGUUUUCUUGAAAUAUUAUGUGUAACAUUCUAUUUAUAUCUUCAAUUUUUUUGCUAAAGCUAUAUCUUCAUUUGCCCCCCCCCCCCCCCCAAAAAAAGAAAAACAGAUUAUAUGUAUAUAUCUUUAAUUUAGUUUUUUUGUAGGUUUAUUGCAUGUGAUUGGUUUAUUUAUAUCGCAUGCCAUAUGUGAUGUGUCUUGUUAUCUGAUACAUGAGCCGAUAUUAUAUAUUGUCUGUAAUCUGGUCUCAUAAAAUGCGUAUCUUUUGGAAUGUAGAACUCCGACAAUUUUUGGAUAACAAGUUCGUAAUUGUCUGUAAAGUUUUGUCCGUCUGAAAAGGAUAAAAGAUUUAGCUACCUUUCUUGCUUCCUGACUACGUUACAUUCAAUUUUUCAGACGAAAUUAACAAAGCCUUUCGUGUCUUUGUAUAUAUAUGAUGAAUAGUGUCUUUAUUAUAUAUUGAUUCAAUGGACAAUGCUCUCUUUUAGUGGUAAUUUUCAUCAGGUUAUGGUAAUUACCAGUUGAUGAAUGUUAUGUCCGUACGCUACGCAUAGUUACUAAUUAAAGAAAAGUUUAUUAUUAGCUUUUGUGACAUAUAUAGUCACUAAUACAAUACACUUAAUUUUGAUUAUAUAUCAUUUUAACUAUAUUGCUGCCUGCUACAGUCUUCCCUUUACAAUAUUCAUUUAUACAUGUACGUACUAUAUCCUGGUAGUUAGUUUGAGUUUUCAGCGUCAAGAUCCUUCGUGUUACUAAACCUGUAACACAAUAGAAUGAUCAAUUAGUUCCUUAUAUAUAUGUAUAUAUAUAGGAGGAAAUGGAACGAACUAAAUGACAUUUUUUUUAUAUCUCAAGUACUAAACUAAGUCAACAAAAAAAAAGAAGAAGAGGAGAAAAAAUGGAAAUAACUGAGAACAGUCCAUAGCAACGGAGAUGGGAAAGCUGAGAGAAAGAGAACAAAGGAGAGGAAGAUUGUUAAUGGCGCUUGGGAGAAAAGCAAUAGGAGUGGUUUUUCCCAUCAUCUCUACGCAUUCACACACCCUCACUAGCUCUCCAUUCCCCUGCGUAAUUAAUAAUUAGGAGCUAGCAUGCACCGGGGUUAUUAAUAAUCUAAUAAAUUGCAAACGAAACUGAAAAUCAAAACACGAGAAAGAAUAGUAACUGGAGACGUGAGCUUGACGACGUUGUUCAAGUGGCUCACACCUCUGCAGCACUCCGGAGAAGGUUGCUGGAAUGCUCCUUCGACUAAGUCCAAGUACGGCACAAAACUCUCGAACACGUCCCUGCACCGCUCUACCGAUAAAUCUGAAACGGCGGUCUUCAUCAGAACCAAGAACGUGACGACCAAUAUGGCACGAUGCAUCUUCAUCGAUCUUUUUAACAAAUGAUGAAUAAACUAGCGAAGUACGUACAUAUAUAUAGUUAGAGAUUGUUCAUGUGUGAUAUAUAAAAAAAAUCUACAUGUACAGAAAUAUAAUCACCUUAUUAAGUAGUGGAAUAUCAGUUUAUAUAAAGAAUGCAUGGUUAGUUUAAUAUGAACACAUGUAAUUUGCAUGUCUCUAAUUAUUCGGAUUCAUGCAGUUGAAUCUUUUAAACUAUUUACGCAAAUUUCGUAUAUAUAUUUAAAAUUAUAUAUCGGUCCAUUAUUUAUAUCCCAUGUGUGUGUGUGUGUGUGUGUGUUUUUUUUUUUUUUUUUCCAUGUGUGUUUUGUGUCUUGUUAAUCUUGAUAAAUCAUAAAUGAGCCUAUAAUAACAUUAAUUCUGGUCUCAAUACAUAUUGUUUGGGGUGUCGAACAUUUCUCCAGCUUUUUGGUUCGUUAUUAUUUCGAACCUCAUCUCUUGAUUUAGAAUCUAUAAAGUUUUGUCCCUCUGAAAGAAGAACGAAAGAUUCAGCUACCUUCCUUGCUUCUAAAGUAACAUCCAGUUUUUAAAAGUUCGACCUAACACCUAUGAGGUUAGACCUUUUUUUUUUUUCUGGUUUUCUGAUUUUCCCACUUUCUAUAUAAAUGAUAAAGAUGUCUCGCACUUUCAUGAGAUGUGCGUGAAAUUCUACCCUAGGAAAUUAAAAUAAGGGAUAAAUAUAAAAGAAUCGUCAAGACUCGGGUCACAUAAUUUGGGCCGAGAAAGAAACGUGUCGAAAGGAGUCCAGUAGCAUAUUCGUAGUUAUAGAAAACCUCAUGCCCUUUUUCGUCUUAUUUGUUUAGGACCAGAAUCAUGUAGAACCGCUAUACUACUCUCUUCUCGCCUCUUUCAAGAGCUCUCUCUCUCUCUCUUUCUCGUUUAAGCUCCGGCGAUUAAUCUUCCGUAAGUUCGUUCUCUCGGACUCCAAAAAUUAUAGCUUUUUAUCAUUGAUGUUUCUCUUACUUCUCUCUGUUUUUACUGUUAUGCUUCUCGUGAAUUAUGUUUCUUUAUGCCACCUUGUUGGCUUGUUGCUUUAAUCUUUUAAAAUGGAGGAUUUCAUUUGAGCUGCAGCUAGGUUUGUGUUCGUGCUGGUAUUUGUGAAUUAUGUCGCAUUAUAGCUGAUUGAGAGUAACGGUGGCUUUAAAAACGAAGUUAACUAGGAUCUUAUAAAAUGUAAUGACGGUGUCUUCUCUGUUUCUCUUCCAGUUUUGGUUAUGAUCAUUAUCUUCAAGCAUGCAUAAGUAUAUAAAUGUCGAGAAAGCAAGAAUUUUUGGUGUUUAAUUUGCUUUUUUUUGUUUCUUUGCAGAUCACUUGUUACUGAGUUUUACUAAAAACAAUGGAUGGCUCAAAGCAUCCAUCGGUGUUUCAGAAACUCAAGGGACAAUCCUGCUUGAUAAAUAGAUUUUCGCCGAAUGUGCAAACUCUUGAUUACGGAGUCUCUGGUGCUUAUGUCAAUGGAGGUUUGCAUAGUCUAUUUCAGUCUACUAACCAAGGCAUUGGCUCUUCUCUUCUACCAUAUGGUUCAUUGCCUGUAUCUGUUCAAGCCCCUAGUGAGAAAACUGGCACUGGUUUCUUGAUCGAUUUCCUUAUGGGAGGAGUCUCAGCUGCUGUUUCAAAAACGGCAGCAGCCCCUAUAGAGCGUGUGAAACUCUUGAUUCAGAAUCAAGAUGAGAUGAUCAAAGCUGGCCGGCUCUCUGAGCCAUACAAAGGAAUCACUGAUUGUUUUGGCCGAACAGUCAAAGACGAAGGAUUGGUUGCUCUUUGGAGAGGCAACACUGCGAAUGUUAUCAGAUACUUCCCCACUCAGGUUUAGAUUCCUCUUCUUCUUAGGCGUGGUCUUACUGGUAUAGAUGUUGAGAUGGGUGUGUUAAGCAAGGGUUUCUGUUUUGCAGGCUUUAAACUUUGCGUUCAAAGAUUACUUCAAGAGGCUCUUCAACUUCAAGAAAGACAAAGAUGGCUACUGGAAGUGGUUUGCAGGGAAUCUGGCGUCUGGUGGUGCAGCUGGUGCAUCAUCUCUGCUAUUUGUAUACUCUUUGGAUUACGCUCGUACCCGUUUGGCCAAUGAUGCCAAGGCGGCCAAAAAAGGUGGUCAGAGGCAGUUUAAUGGCAUGAUCGACGUGUACAAGAAGACUAUAGCCUCUGAUGGCAUUGUUGGUCUUUACCGUGGUUUCAACAUCUCAUGUGUUGGAAUUGUUGUGUACCGUGGGCUUUACUUUGGAUUGUAUGAUUCCUUGAAGCCUGUGGUUCUAGUUGAUGGUCUCCAGGUACAAAACAAAGAAAACUGUUCAGUAUUCACUUCAGCGUAUGAGUCCUCUGUUACUGUUUAUUCACUGCUCUAAACUAUACAGGAUAGCUUCCUUGCGAGUUUCUUGCUGGGAUGGGGAAUCACCAUUGGAGCUGGACUGGCGUCUUACCCAAUCGACACAGUGCGUAGAAGAAUGAUGAUGACAUCAGGUGAAGCAGUGAAGUACAAGAGCUCUCUUCAGGCCUUCUCUCAGAUCGUCAAGAAUGAAGGGGCCAAGUCACUCUUCAAGGGUGCAGGUGCAAACAUCCUCCGAGCUGUUGCUGGGGCUGGUGUGCUCGCCGGCUAUGACAAGCUCCAGCUUAUUGUGUUGGGCAAGAAGUAUGGCUCUGGUGGUGGCUAAACGAUGAGAAUGAAAGAAAAUACUUAAGGUCUAUGAGUGAAUAAGUAGUCUGUGUUUGUAUAAAUGUUGCUUUGAAUAGUGAGUAUACUCUGGCUUGUCUUAGUGUAGGUCAUGUUAACUUUUACUUGACAAAAGAAUAAUGCAAAGAAAACCACUGGAUACAAACACUGUUAAUUAAAUAAAAUGAAAGGUGUUUUUGUUUGUGAAAACAUGCUGGGAGAUCCAAAGAAGUUAAAUGUAUGGUUAUGCCUAAAGUUUGGAUAAUUCAGAUAGGCUUUCCUUGGGUUGUAAGCGAAUGAGUUAUCUAAAUCCAACAAUAAGAUUUGGUCUUCAAAGGUGUCAUUUCAGAUCCCACUUCAAACCACUUCAGAUAGCUACAAGUAAGGAGUUGAGUCUUUUUCCUUGAACUUAUGCCACCACUAGGAUAUAUGCUCAUUAAUACUUUCUCUAAUAAAGGUGUUUGUCUAUAUAAACCAACAUACUUAUAAAAAGGAUCUAUAACUCGUCUUUCAAUGGCUCUCUCUUUUACAUUUCAUGCCCUCAUCUCAGUUCUUGUUCAUCUAUCUUUUGUAUCAACUGCAAAGCAUAGCCAUCACCACCACACAAGUCACAGUCUUCAUCCACACACUCCAAGCUCUAACCAACAGCUUCAACAAGCGUACCAUGCACUUCAAGCAUGGAAGAAGGUCAUCUAUUCCGAUCCAAAGAACUUAACAACGGACUGGGUUGGUCCUUCAGUCUGCAGCUACACUGGCAUCUUCUGUGCCCCAUCCCCAUCCGAUCCAAACACUCUAGUUGUUGCUGGAAUCGAUCUCAACCACGGUGACAUCGCUGGUUUCCUGCCUGAAGCCAUUGGCCUUCUCUCGGACCUUGCUCUCAUCCAUCUCAAUAGCAAUCGCUUCUGCGGCAUCCUUCCUAGUUCCUUGGCCAACCUAUCGUUACUCUAUGAGCUUGACCUCAGCAACAACCGCUUUGUAGGACCUUUUCCGGAUGUCGUCCUUUCACUCCCUUCUCUAAAGUACCUUGACCUUCGUUACAAUGAGUUUGAAGGCCCCUUGCCUCCAAAACUUUUCAGCAAUCCCCUCGACGCGAUUUUUGUGAACAACAAUCGGUUAACAAGCCUCAUUCCCCGAGAUUUCGCUGGAACAACCGCCUCCGUCGUCGUCUUUGCCAACAAUGAUUUUAGCGGUUGUCUGCCUCCAACAAUAUCCCGCUUUGCAGAUACCUUGGAAGAGCUUCUCCUAAUAAACUCAAGCUUAUCUGGAUGUCUACCACCCGAAGUUGGAUAUCUCUACAAGUUACGAGUCCUGGACGUGAGCUACAACAGUUUAGUUGGCCCUGUACCUUACAGUCUCGCUGGUCUAGGCCAUUUAGAGCAGCUGAAUCUGGAACACAACAUGUUCACUGGCACUGUACCUCUUGGAGUCUGCGUUUUACCCAGUCUACUUAACCUUACCUUCUCUUACAACUAUUUCAGUGAAGAAGAAGGCAUCUGCAGGAACCUGACUUCUAGAGGAAUAGCCGUCGACGAUCGCUACAACUGUUUGCCUGACAAACCGCUUCAGUGGAGCCAAAAAGUCUGUGAUGCUAUACUUGAGCACCCCAUAGACUGCUAUGACCACGAAUGCUCAGCCAUGGCUCCUCUGGUUGCUCCAUCUACAGCAGGGCCUUCCAUUGCUCCUGGUCCAGCUGACACAUAAGGAUUCACUUGUAUGCGCACAAUGACCAGAUGUUAUGUAUGCAAACAAAAUGAAAGAACAAGAAAUGUGUGAAAGAUUUGGUUGUAGGGUGAAAGAAUAUGCACUAAGAUUUUUAAAAUUAUACGAUUAUACAGAACACAAUGUCUAUCCGCGGUAUCUAGCCGCAGUUACAGAUUCCACCUUUGCUAUAUUUUCAUCUAAAAAUCUUCUAAACCUCUUCAAGGACCUGAAAUUAAAGAACCAUCCCCACCUGUUUCAGAGAGUCAAAUUUUGCAGCAGUUAACUUCGUGCUGUUGAGAAAACCCAAACUCUAGGAAUGUUUGACAUAUAAGUGAAACAUCUCAAAAUUUUCAGAAAAGAAAAACAGAAACCAAGAAACCUGGAAAACGCAUGACAAAACACUGAAAUAAGAGCAUGAUUCUUCAUAGGCCAAUCAUAUACAGAACUUGGAUUUUAUUAUCCCGAGUUCUCACUUGUAAAAUCAUAUUCAUGGUUGUUAACAAUAAAUUUCCUUCAGAGAACCAAAACACUAUCUAUAUACCUAACAGGCAAAGAAACUACCAAAAUCUGAAAAGAUUUUAAAAAAUCCGGUUUGGAAGUUCGGUUUGAGUUGUUACCCGCAAUAAACUGUGUGAAGCAGGUACAUCCUAACAAACCGAAAACAUCCUCUAUGCUGGAGGAAGAGAACGCCGGCAAGUUGGGCACUCCAUUUUUAUAUCCAUCCAUCUCUGUAAGCAGCCCGAGUGGAAGAAAUGUUCACAUGGAGUUACCUGUUCUCAGAAAAAACUCGCUCAUAAGUCUAUUUAUUGGGGAAAAUGUGUAGUUUAGAGAAUCCAAAAGAAACUGCUGUACCAUGCAAUCACUGGUAUGCUGUCUGAGAUCAAUAGCGGUCAUGCAGAUAACGCAAUCAGUGUUGUGGUUUACGUCCCGAUUAAAUCUUCGGUGGUAGUUGUAUUUCUCUGGUAGCAUCUGCGUGUAAGCGUAAAAGAUAACAAAAGAGAUUAGCUGUAGGCAGAAACAACUUAACAAUGCGGAAGAGACCUGAAAUAUCCAAGCCAAACUGAACCGAACUGUAACCUACUGUUCGCUUUAUUAAAUUGAACAUUACAUGAAAAAAGAACAAACUAACCUGACGCGGAACAAAGCAACGUGAACCAAAAUAAUGCUGAAGAAGAAGAAUGGCAGCUUGCAACCCCAUGAAUGUGCACAAGCAUACGCACCAGAACUUGUUGGGCUCUACACGCAUGAAGUUGUGUGGGCACCCAAAAACAUAUAACGGUAUAGCUAACCGUGUAACUGUCAUCCCCAAGAUGUAAUAAGGGUGCAGAGGCUUUCUUGAAUCCCGGACGACAUUGGCAACUAUCUGUGGUAUCCAAAAUGAGUACAUGAGAAGGAGAAUCGGCUGCAUGUAGUUGUGGAACUGGUACAUUAUCAAAAUGCCUCCAAGAAGUAUCCCAUCUGUUAUAAUAUAGUGACAAUGAUGAAAUAUCAGCGUUAACAUCUGAAUUGCGUCAAAGAUUUCAGCUAAAUGAAAACAAAAGUCACACAAUUGGUGAGAAUGUCUAGCGCACAAGAUUCAAAAAGAUUAUUGUAGAUUCAAAUUAACUUACAUUAGCAAGUGAAUGAAACCAAGCAGGUAUAAUUAGGAAAUUUUGAGGAGACAAGUAAUACCAUUAUUUCCCAACCAAAUUGACAUAAUAAAGUUUCCUAAAACGCAACUUUCUUAUCGGGAAAUUAAAUGUUUCUGUGGUGGAUGUUUGGAAGAAAUAGGGGAAGAGAACCAAAAGACCAAGCAGUCAUAUGACUCAUAUCAUAAAAGUGCUGUAAGAAACGAGUUUGAAGCUUUAAUUGAUAAACAAAGACCAAAAGAGCAAGUACUCACAGAAACGGCUGUAGAGAAAGGACAGUUCUCGCCUCAUUGUUUCCCAACCUUCUCCGCUGUUGGAAGGACGGGUUGCUUUCCAUAUCGCCAGAAGAUAUCUCAUCUCAAAAAUCGAAAAGACUACGAAUUUGAAGAACGCAGCGGUUGCAAAUGCAUUAAACAGAGAUUCUGCAUGAGAAAUUUGUAACCUUAAGUUUUACAGUGAUGGAGAUUUGAGAAAAGUAUAAAUCACAAUGUCAAGUAGCAUACGGGCCAGUGAGACAGUAAUAGAAAUUCCGACAAAAUGAAAGCGUAAUUUAUCAAACAGAUGAGGGUAAGAUGUGUCGAAGAAAACCAACAAAGAAUAUUAUCAAAAUGCAGGGGGGAUACAAAGAAUAUCACUGCAUUAAACGCCUAACAUGUAACAUGAAAAGAGGAGUCAUAUAUUAGCUUUAAAAAAAUGGCAUCCUUCAACGCGUGAGUACAGUUAUAAGGAUAUACAUACCGACUAAUAUACCAGCCGUGAGAUGUAAAAGGCACAAAUAAGCAUCCAUGAUAGCUUGUUGCCCAAUCAUUACAAUAGAUACCUUGGCAGCACCCUUGUAUACAAGAACUUCCGGAAGUUAGUUUUUAUUCAUUCUGUACAAGAAUAACAGUAUUAGACCAUCUGGUUUACAUCGGUAUCUUACAGAAUGUGUGUUACCGUGCUCCAUUUGUCGGAUUAACAAAAGAACCUGGAGGAACGAGACCUGAAUGCCAUAGAAAGUUAAGGAACACACUAAUAUCGGAUAAGUUCUCAGCAGUCUCUUAUGAAAGGGUAAACUACUUUUAAGUAAAGGAUACAAAAGUAACCAUCAGCGUAUAGUUCACAGCUUUGUUAUAGUAGACUUCGACAUUUACAGAGGUUGCAUUCAGUAACAAAGGCGAGAAACAAUUUCCGUCAUCGCCUGCCCCAGGACUUUCCAGCAACCCUUCCAUGUGAUAAUAAUUUUUGUCUCCAUCUACCAAAUUAUGGAAAAUAUCCUCAGCAUAAGAUAAAAUGUGACUAAAUAGACAAAGAAGAUAUCAGGAUCAUCUCAAUGUUUAAAGUUAGAAUGCAUACUAUUUUCACUAGAAGCCACACGGGAUACUUGAGCUGCUAUUUCAAUAUUACAGUGCUUCUCCAUUUCAUUCACUGGAGCUGAAGUACAAGAGAAUUGAAGAUCAGAGUCUCCGAAAAGUUUAGCACACGGGAAAAAAUAGGAUACUGCUUACAAAUUUUCCGUCUCAGUAAUCUGUCUCUUGGAGAUUCUUGAAACACUUGAGAGGAGAAAAUUCCUAGCUGUCCAACAGCAGAAUGUCUAAACUAGUAAGCACUUGGAACAUUUUAACACAUUAAUCCAGCCAUCAGAAGAGAAAGCACUAUCAUUGUCUAAAUGGGACAAACAAGAGUCUUGAGGAUUACCAGAUGAUAGGGAUUUGAGAGAAGAUUAUUGUCUUCUUGCCCUGAGUUGCUCUCCUUGCCGCUAAAGUCAAGUAAUGUACAGACCUUGGAGUUAAGAGUCAAUAAUAAAUCUUAAAAGCAGUUAAAGAAAAAACCGUUGAUUGUACCUAUUAGCCACAAGGCGGAGUUGUCUAAAGGGCCAUAUAUAUACACCUUCCAGAUUUAUUUGGGCACCACCCACAUUUUGUUCAUUGUCAAAUACGUCAUGGAAAACAACUACACCCUGUUCCGUGAACUUAGUUAGAACCUCAAAUAUUGCAUGCUACAAGAUCAAGGGAGAUCCCAAAAUACAGACUUAGAAGCUGAACUGUUCACCUGAACAUAAUGCACACCGGUUAUUUUCGUUGGAACUGCCACUAACUCAACCACAGAAUUACCAUUUUCUUUUUGAAAGUCUUGAAACUUUGAAGAGCUAUUUGCGGAGUUCAGAAACUUCCAAGUUCCUGAAGAAUACCCACAAUAGAGCUUAUAUUCGAUAAGUAGUCUAAAACAUAAAGCAAUAGACAGAAAACCACAACACGGUAGCUAAUUCUGAAAGAAGUAGAAAAUGAAGAAAGUCAUGCCACAAACCUCUAUAUGUUCCUGUUAUAUUCCAUGCGGAAAACGGUCCUACUUCAGCCUCUUGUUUUCUACCAAAGAGCCACUGCAAGAUCAUGUAAACCUUAGAAUAAAACCAAUACCCAAACAUUGCCUCGUUUACUCUGAACUCUGAAGAGCUAGCCAGUAUCUACCUAGAUUCCCCACUACCAAUGAUUCUACUUCUGCAACAACUAGCCAAUCUCUACCUAAGAAUCCAUUAUGGGUCUCAUCUCACCACACUAUCGAAAGAUUCAUUCUUACACAUCUCAGAGUAUUCACCAAGAGAACAAAGCUUGAAGACUAAUGAGCUCGAUCGAGCUAAGUUAGAUAACAUUAAUCAUUUUCAGAUUACUCAAUCAAAUAAAAAAAGAUGAAAGUUAGACCAAAGCUACUCUGCUCCUGGAUUUUCAUUCAAGAUUGUUUUACUCUGAUCAGCUCAAUUUUUGCGAGAAAAAACAAAGCAGGGAAUCUCAAACUUAGAAGAGAUAUCAAUUAGGACCAAUCAUUCAGCAAAUCAUGAACAGAAACAAGUCAUUGAACACAUUUGACAACAAACUGGUCGGACUAGCUAACGAAAGUGUAAAUUUUGUUUCUGGGAAACAUCAGUAUGACAGAAAUGAAUAAACUUUUUGAGCAAUCAUCAAUUGAACAAAAAAAAAACACAAACCUCGUCGCUCCAUGAUCGAGUUUUCUCCCUUAUGGGUCUCAAUCCCGUCGCUUGUUGCGAAAUCGCCAACAAAAUCAAUAGCCAGAAGAUAACCUGCCACUCGAACCUUAAUCCCAAAAGCCCCGAAUUGUCCCGCUUCUUCAUAUCACUCCCUACCCCUAAAAAUCCCUUUUUUUAUGACUUAACCCAAAACUAAAAUAUGAUAGGAUCAGAACUGAUUCGAGUUUUGCUCCAAAAUCCACAACACUGAAGACAAAAAUCCAUUUUUAAUGGCACAGAAGCAACACAGAGAAGAGAGGGUGAAGUCAAACAAACUAGGUUUUGGUUUUGC